GCCUGGACAUAAACGAAACAAACAAAAUCAACGAGUGCGUGAAAGAAUAAGCAGCAAAAUUAGAAGUUCAAAGCCAUCCAAUUGUUGUUUGAGUCCAGAAAUACCCAUGACUCAACAGCAAAGGUACGACGAUACAUCUUUCCAAGAUCAAAAUAAUAUAUACUACAUACAUCCUUUACACAUUGCUACUACACUAAAAACAAGAGGAUCAUAACUAAAGAACACUUACGACAUGAUCAUGGUCUGGAGGAGCAUAUAUGCCCGUAGUUACUGUUUUUCUCCUUCGAGUAUCAUUUGACGGUGCAUCAGAUAUCUUUUUGAAUCCUGUUGGAACAACUACUACUGGAAUACCCACAAGAUUGCCAAGACAAACUUUCUCCCACUCAGUUGCAUUUCCAAUAAAUGCAUCAACUUUGAAACUUUCUCUCACUUGCUGAAUCAACAUACCUCUAGCUCUUUGUGCCUGGUGAAAUAUCAUACACGUAUUGAUCUUAGCAUUGCCAAAUUUUGAACAACUGUAUAAAAGUGGAUUAACACCUCCAUUCAGAUUUUGAGAUGUCUGAAAGAAUUUAAUUAAUUAAGGUUUUUCAUCCUAUACCAGUGAUAAUUAAUCAAACAUACAGUUUUAAACAUCUAAACCAAGAGAAACUUUGUAGAUCAAGAUAAUAACCUGAAAAUAGUCAACGGCAGAUAUGGCACGUGCUCGGCGAAGUCUAAUAGGCCAUUUAUCUUGGUCUUCAAAUUCAUCAUCCAGAUUUGAGCGCUGCCAUUUGUCAAAGUGAGCCAACAUCUCAACAUCCAUUGUGAAAUUGAGGAUACCUUGGAAAGAAUCAACAGUGUAACUCAGGUUAAAUGGGACCAUAUUCGCUCCUUUUGAUUGGAGUACGUGAACAACCUGUCAUCGCCAUGACAAUGCAAUCCAGGUAAGACAUUCAUCAAAUAGGAUACAGAACCUAAUUAACACAGCCCCAUUCCAAUACUGGAAAAUAUUUACUUACUUCCAUAUCAGCAUCCUCAAGAUAUCCAACAGUGAGCUUUGUGAUAUCAACUCUGGGUCCUUCCCUCGAAUGGCAUCCAGAACAAUUGCACAAUCCACAGAAUUUCUACAAAAAGGGCCUAAUUUAUCCUGACAAGAAGUUAGAUUUCAGUGUAUUAUACUAAAAACUAGUAUUAGGAAAGAGAAUUGCACUGUGGAAGAAAUAUUAAGUACCAAGCUUUCAGCUAUGCUCAUAAUACCCGUUCGACCAACAGCUCCAAAAGUGGGCCGCAGCGCCGUCACGCCACAGCGAGAAGCUGGAAAGGUAAUGGAGCCGGCAGUUUCUGAACCGAUUGCAAACGGAACCAAACCUGCAAUACCAGUCUCUCUCUCUCUCAAACAAUAUGUUCUGCGUACUAAUAAGUCAUAAAACAUCGAGCAGAAUUGUCAUAUUUGCAAAUUUAGAAGGCAGGAUGCAUAGAUCGGAAUCUAAUCAGGGAUAGAUCAAUAGCUCAUGGAUACCUGCUGAGGUGCAAGAAGCAGACCCUGCUGAUGAUCCUGUAGAAUAUUCCUCGAUAUUCCACGGGUUUCUUGUUCUUCCACCAAACCAGAUGUCAGCAUAUGCUAAAGAACCAGUUACUAACUUUGCAACAAGAACUGCCCCGGCAGAUUUCAGCCUGCAUCAACCAUAUCUAUAUUACUAAAAUACACGCACAGUAAGAAUGGGUGUCUAGAUCUGGCCUCAUAUGUCAUUGAUAUCAUGAUUAGUUAGUUAUACCUCUUAUAAGCCCAAGCUUCAAUAUCAAGAACUUGGUCUUUAAAAGAUGUUGAACCCCAUGUUGUGGUAUAGUUAGGUACUGCUAUGAUCUCCUUAAGACCAUUGGGAAUCCCAUGAAGAGGACCUAUAUAGAAAAGAAGAUGUUAUACUUGUAAUCCUUUGAGAGAGCAAAAUAUUGUUAAAAAGGGUUAUGAGGCUAUUAGUGACACAAGGAAAAGUGAUCAAACAAAAAGUUGGAAAAAACAUUUUUUGUAUUACUCUCCACAUUUAAUAAAGAAGUACCAAGGAAUAAGAAGCUACCUAUGCCCUAAAUUCCUCUAAAGUAAAAAAAUAAAUCAGGGAAAAUUAUUUCAGAGCAUUAGGUGAGAAGUGAAGGAAGCAUUAAUUACUAUCGGUGGAAAACGGAACUAUAGGAAAUGAACAACCUCAGCAUCAAGAGAAGAUCAGUCCGAAGAAAUUGGAGAAUAUUGCAGCCUGAAGAUUUAGGAUUUCCCUGAUUAGGUGUAUAAUUUCGAUGGUCUAAUUUUAAUACCGCUGAUAAACAUAAAUCAUUUUCUUCCAUUGUAGUUAUGAUGCUCACAUUUUAUUUUUCUUUAUGGAGAAUUUGGAUGUACACCAUUACCUUUUUCAGAUGUAAAGGUCCUUGACAUCUAUGGCGAUCUAACAUGAAUCAUUAUUAUUGAGGCAUAGUUCAUUCAUCGAUUGAUGGAAAAUCCAAUAUUAUGAAGGUGAAUAGGAAAUACGUGAAAGAGGCUAGCGGAGAGGAAAUGAGCAGACUGUUACCCAGAUAUUUGCCUUCAGCAAGCAGUUGGUCAGCCUCUUUUGCUUGUUUGUAUGCUAAUUCUUCCGUAAUUACAUUGACGGACUCAAGAACAGGACCAUACCUGAGACAUCCCCAGUAGAUAUUUCAUUAUGAGGACUAGAUACCAAUAACAAUAAAAGAAUUGGAAGCAAACACUAGUUCAAACACCUCUUCAGUCUCUUCAAGAAAAUUCCAGUCAGCUCCACCGAUGUGAUAAGAUUUUCCUUGAGAAGCUGCCCGAGUUCAAGAAUCUGAUAUAACAGCAUGGGUGCAUGAUUAGACGGAAUGUUUUAUAAAUUUGAGCACGUAAGUCCUACUAUGGGAUCACUUACACUCUGGAACGCGAUAUCCUCAUCACUUUUUGGUCUCUGAAUACCAACAGGUGAUGGAUAAUUGAUCUUUUUAUUUGGUUCAUUUUCUAUCUGUUGGACCUUCCAUGCUGAAUUGAAGACUAAACAAGACGGGUUAUGCAGACCUCCAUCAGUAGUGGCAACCAACUUUCGGUUAGAUCUGAUUAUAGGUCUGUUGAAGUCGUUUGCUCCCUUUUGGAUUUCAAGCAUCUGAAAGGAAUGAACGUUAUUGUCAAAUAUAUAGUCUUGCUUUAUAUUCUAGUUCAGAGCUAGAAGGAUAACCAGAAAAAUUAAAAUGUCACAAUAGUACCUUCUUCUUACUCAAGAAGCUGGAGUCCAACAUUUUGAAUCCACAUUCACAAACCGGAAGAUGUUUGGCCUCUUCCAAGGGGUUUUCAAGACCCAAUUUUUCACUUUCCUGAUUAACGAUCACAUAAUUAGACAGAAAACACCAAAGUCUAGAAAUUUAGAACUGCUUUCCAAAUGAUACAGAUGGUCAUGUAACUAUCAAUUUUUUUCACAAAAAUCACCAAACUUUAACUAUAUUAACACAAAAAUCAGACAACCUGAAAAUGCUUUCUGAUGGACAACUCAUCUUUUACCUUUUCUGAAAAACUAUGUAGUAAUAGAUAAAAAGUUCAAUUAAAAAUCCAAAUGAAGAAAGUAAACUAUCAAAAGAACAGAACAGGAGUACAGAACCACACUUCCCCCCCCCCCNNNNNNNNNNNNNCAAAAAGCUGUUGAAAAUUAGUGAGGAGGAAACAAUGUUUCAACCUGAUUCUUCAUAUGGAUUUUGGGUUUGGUCGGAGCUUUUUAAUUGAAUUUUGUUUAUUGCAUUUAUAAAUAAAUUUAUAAAAAAAAAAAAAAAAAAGAGUUAUCUACUGGAAAUUUGGAAAUUUCAGGUUGUACGUGACCAUACGUGAAAUUUACACUGAAAACACAUGUAUAGUUUGAUGACAAGAAGAAGUAUACAUGCUAAAGUUGACCACUUGUCGCCAGUGAUAGUAAUAUCUUUGGGCGUUUAAGCUUUUCAAUAACAAGCUGGAGAUGAGAUUCUUCAUUUACCAUAUCUGUAGAACUGCUGCAAGUAAAAUCCCCAGGAUAUCCUGAUGAAGAAACAUAGUUAAAUAGAAGCACCAAUAUGUGCAACAGCAACAACCAACGAACUGAACGUGUCAGAAGACCCUUUUCACUUGCCAUGAGGAACUAGAUUUCCGGCAGUUAAAUGCACCAAAUUAUAGGAUCAUCAGCUUCCUUUCCACUCCUUAUCGACUGAACUUUCCAAAUUUGUUUAAUAAUUAGUAAAAGGUAGGAGUAUUGUUUAGUUGAGUUGUUGAGCUAGAUCUAAUAUCACAUUUAAAAAUUAUUUUAAAAGAUCUACUAUCGCUUAGAAAACACACCAUAAAAAAAAAGAAAUUAACUUGACACGAAAUUUAAAAAAAUAAAAUAAAAAUUUAAAUCUUACGCUUUUAAAUUAAAAAUAUGUUAAAUAUAUCAAAAUGUCAUAUCACGUAAAAAGUUAAAAUUAAAAAGUUACUGUUAAAAAAAAAAAGAAUCAUUUUUUUUUAACAGGACUAAAAAAAAAUAAUCAUUCCUUUUUUUUCAAACUGAGGGAGUAAUUUUUUUAAUAAUGUUAAUAACUGAGGUGUAGUCAUCUUCGUUGUUUGUUAUAUGUAGCCAAUUGUUAUCCAUUUUUUCUAUCUAUUACCUGUAAUCUUAAAGGGCACAACCCCUGCCCGCUUUUAUUUUUGGUUUCAAAAUUUCAAUAUCUAUUUUAAGGUAUGUAGAUAUUUUGUUUAUUGCAUUUUGGAUCUUUCCGAUUUUCACAUCAACUCCGCGACGCUAAUUGCUUACUUGAAAAUCUUACACUCCCUCUCUUCUAAGUACUUUUCAUAUUUUUGAUUUACAUGUCUCUUAAUAAAUUACUAUUUAUUAUGAAUAUUUUUUUACAUCAUAUUCUUAUUUAAUUUCUUUAAUCAUUUCUCAAUCAAUGAAAAUUUUAGUUUUUUUUUUUAACUAAAAGUAUACUUUAUUAUACCUUGAUUUUGUAAAAUUACAAGCAUCGUGAGCAUUUAAUAACACUUACAUUUAUCUGUUUUAUAUGUUAAAAGAUUAUGAACACUAAAUAGUUAAAAUUUAAAUGAAUAGAAUAGUAUCCUUUAGUUGAAGUUUACUUAUGCUUUUAUUUACUACUAGGCGUUGAACUAUCGGCACGUCAGAAGCCUCAUCAAAAUGGCCCUUAGUUGGUAAGCCGCACAAAACGAUCUAAAGUAAGCCGCACAAAACUAUCUAACUGAUUGUCAGGAAUUGGGUUGGAGUGCUGAUGGCUGUGAGGUUGCAACUGUCGAAGCCUGGAGUUAUGUUUAGUUCAAUAUCAAAUUAAUUAAAGGGACCUCUAACAAAAUUAAACAAAUUUUAGAAGGACAACGACCUUUACAAAAGAAACAAACAAGAAUAUUCUAUUCUUUUGAAAUCUAUGAUAUAGGGAGGAUAUUCUGAUCAAUCGACAUCCAGAUAAAAAUUGUCCCAUAUACACUACAGAGAUACAUGCUUGUUUUGCGGGGAAGCAUAUUGCUGGAAAAACAUGCUCGUCUUGGUCAUCAAGAAUUUGAGGAAAGAGAAGAGGACAAAAAAAAAACAACAGGAAAACAACUAGCUCAAAAAUCUAAAAGAAGCCCGACUGAGGUCAUUAGUGCCAUUUCCCAUCCUAAUUGUCGCUCCGUGCGAGUGCCUUACCAAUCCUAAUUGUCGCGCCUAGUCCUCCUACGAGGAGCAGCUGCAGCAUCCUCACUCUGCUCUUCCUUCUCCUCUGUGGCUUGACUAUUGGAAGUGGAAGUUUCAGCUGCAUCAGUUUUUUCAGUCUCUGCACUAGCUCUAGCCUGCAGAUAUACAUACACAGCAGAGACAUAAGAAAAAAGACAAACAGGUGGGGGUUCUUUCAUUGAUUUGUUCUUUUAACUAAGAUGGCACGGAUAUUGGUGCUUACCGGCUUCGGCUGCGGCUGCUUCUUCCCACCAAAGAUGAGCUUCAAUAGAAUUGAGAAGAAAACAACUACGACUGAGAUGACAACACUAACUGUGAGAUUGGGUUGUGCCUCAGCUUUCUCGAGAAGAUCCUGGAAAAAUAAGUCGAGAUUAUAUUAGAUACUUGCAGCAAAAUGAAACCCUUCAAUGAAACAAAACAGUAGUUCCUACACUUACCAGUACUUUGGCCUUGUGUUCGCCCAAGAACGGGACGUCAGCUACCUUGUAGAGGAGGUCAAAUACUACUUUCUGCAAAGUAUUGCCAAAUAUUUCAAGUUGUGUGAAAUGAGAAUAAAUCUAACGCAUAGAAAUUAGAUGGUAAAGAAAGUUUAGUCCUAUACCUGGUAUCUUUUGAGACCACCAGAUUCUGCUGUUUCCUCGGCUUUUUGCUUCUCCUUCUCUACGUCAAACUUGGGUUUCCAGGCAGUCUUCCUGUAUGAUUCAGCAACUUUUUCAUCACUUGCUAUCAAGAUAUUGUCAAACAAUAUGCCAUCUUGCAUUGUCCAUAUCUCAAUGCCAAUAGCUGCAAUUGGCUCAAAGUUGGGUUUGUCAAGUUCAAAAUAGUCGGGAUUUGGGAUAUCCCUGGGCUUCCAUAUACCCUUGUAAUUGGGGUUGUCAAUCAGUGGAGCAUGCCAUUUUCCCUUGUAAGCUGGAUUUCUCUUCAUUGGUCUUUUCCACUCCCCACAUCCAGGAGCUUCCUCACAUUUUGGGUUGUCAGUUUUUGGAGCCUCCCAUAAACCAUCCUCCUCAUCAUCCCAAUCUUCAGGCUUUGUGGCCUCGGGAUUAUCGAUCUCCUCAGGCUCAUCAUCCAACCAUCCUUCAGGCUUCUCAGCUUCCUCAUCUUCAAUUUCCAUUGGUGCGUCCUCAUCCCAAUCAUCUGGUUUCUUAGCAUCAGGGUCUGGAAUUUUGGCUCUCUCGUCCCAGUCCUCGGGCUUCUUGUCUUCUUGACAGCUGAAAGGAAGUUAGCCUUCUUUUUUUCUUCCCCAUCAACAAAGAUCAGAACUUCAUUGUCCGGUUUCAACACAGCAGUGUAAACAUGGGUUAGUUUGUCAGACGGUACGGAAGGAGGAAACUUGAGGUGGUGCUCAAUGAACUCCCCACUCUUAGGAUUCUUAUGUUUCAAAAUGAAGUGCACCUUGUUUGUGGCUCCACAUUUAUCUGGUCCAAACAUUACCGUAUAGGGGGACGCAUUAUCAAAACCCUUUGCAGUCCAACCUGCUUCCUGGGGACGGAGGUAUUUUAGGUAGGCACCACCACACUCAAGUCCCUCCUGGAGGCGAACCUCAUAUUGAAGGACCACAGUUCCGUCUUUGAGGUCAACAACAUUGUCAAGCUCCUUGACAAUGGCGUAUUUCCUAGCCUUCUCACUCACUAGAAGUCCAUAAUCAUCAUGUCCCUCGCUCUUGGCAUGUUUCCACACACCUGAGAUAAAAUUAUAUGUCCAUUUAAACUUGCAAGAUCAAAGAUUAGACAUCACUUCACUAAUGCAAAUGCGAUAUAAACAUAAAAAGGCAUUGCUUUACUUCAGAGAUGUAAUACUUUUUCAUAAAGAUUUUCUGCAUCAGAGAUACAGCUUCAACCAACAUAGCAGAAUUAGAGUUAAAAAGACUAGAUACUUCAAUUAACUUUAUGGAAAUUUGGUUACAUGCCAUAUUUGGCACGAGUAACCAAAAUUUUUAAUGCUGAAGACUGCAUAAUAGACUGUCGGAAGGCACAUAAAUAACACCUGCACAUAAGACCCGCUGCUGAAAGCAAAUUUCAAAACCAACUCAUACUUACAUUUUUUUUAAGAAGGUGCCCUUUUAAACAAAAUAACUGUGUACUGUAUAGUUCAUAGAAAGUGCAAGCAUCCAUAAAAGCUAAUACCAUCACAACAUUUUCACUCCCCCAUCACCAAGCAAACAUGUCAAACAGAUUAUGUAAUGUGUAUAGUUGAGAGACAGAAUAAUAAUCCAUAAAGGCUAAGAGCAUCACACUGUUUUCACACUUAUGUUCCUCAAUCAUUGCUUCUUUACAUAGUCUUAAUGUCUCUUAAUUACUUCUCAAUCUUAUGAUCCUUUUAACCUACUUCAAUAAAAAGUUAAUGAAAGGGCAGCUCGGUGCACUAAAGCUCCCGCUAUGCACAGGUCCAAGGAAGGGCCUUAAUGUCUCUUAAUUACUUCUCAAUCUUAUGAUCCUUUUAACCUACUUCAAUAAAAAGUUAAUGAAAGGGCAGCUCGGUGCACUAAAGCUCCCGUUAUGCAAAGGUCCAAGGAAGGGCCUUAAUGUCUCUUAAUUAAUUUUCUCAAUCUUAUGAUCCUUUUAACCUACUUCAAUAACAAGUUAAUGAAAGGGCAGCUCGGUGCACUAAAGCUCCCGCUAUGCACAGGUCCAAGGAAGGGCCCCACAAGGGUGUAUUGUAGGCAGCCUUACCUUGGCUGUUUCGAAGGCUAAAACUCCUGUCACAUGGCAGCAACUCAAGGAAGGGCCCCACAAGGGUGUAUUGUAGGCAGCCUUACCUUGGCUGUUUCGAAGGCUAAAACUCCUGUCACAUGGCAGCAACUAUACCAGUUACUCCAAGGAAAUUGUAGCAGCUAAUUUUUCCACAGUUCGCUAAUUUUUCCACAGUUAGCACGCAAACAUUAAAACGAGUUAUGACUCCUUAAUCAUUGUUUGUUCCUUUAGCUAUAGUGUUACAUAUUGACACGACUCUUCUAACCUACUCCAUUAACAAGUUAUAAAUAAAUCUGAAGUAGUACCAAGGACAUUGUAGCAACUAAUCCCUCCACUAUUACCACUCAAACAUUAUAACAUCAUUACUUAAACAUUGUUUCUCCCUUUAACCUUAAAUUGCAUUAUUACUUCUCAACCUUCUGAUUCCUUUAUUAAACUCUAUCAACAAGUUGUAAAUGAAUCUGAAGAAGUAGCACAGGUAAUACAGUGAACAGUAAAUGCAAUAAACUACAGUGAUCCAGAAUUACAGAAUAUAAAACAUAAGAACCGAACGAAAUACUUCAUAGAUCCAGGCAAAACCUCACCUGAAUACUCCUCUUUCUCAGACACAAUCCAUUUCCCAUCGAACGCUUCAUCAAACGACUCGUAAAACUUCUACAGAUCAGCAAAACACAAUACAAUGCAUUACAGAUCAUCCAAACAAUCCAGUAAAAAACAAAAAUAACAACCAUAUGCUACACAAUACUAAUCUUACCAAAUCUGAAGAAGCAUACAGCUGAGAGAAAAAACAACAAGCCAAUAGCAAAACCGCAUAUUGCGCAAAGAUCUUCCUUUUACUUUCUUCCAUAACACACUACGGAAGAAGAUAAUACUCCAAACUGUAUCAGAGAUCUGGAAUUUGGAAAACCCUAAGGCGUGUUUGGGUGUUUUGGAUCAAGGAGAAGACGAAGAACACUCCAGAAGAACCGAGAGAGAAAAGAGUGAGAGAGGUUAGAAGGACGAGAUAUUCAAUUAGUAUAAAUAGAUCUCGAGAGAAAAAAGCAUCGACUUGUUGUAGCCAAUGGAACUUCAUGCCACGUGAAGUGAACCAAUGGGUGAUUGCCACGUAAGCAUGCGGACGAGGUUUAUGUACAAAUGCAGCGAAAUUUGGAUCGACGGUUGAGAUUGUUUUCAACUUGGCGCUCCAUUGGUCGCCCUUGACUAUUGUUUGUUUUUUAUCUUUAUAUUUACUUCCUAAUGGAUACUGUAAUGGAGUAUUUUGUUUUUUCACCUUAUGACGGAGUAAUACUGUAAUGGAGUACUUGCUAUAUUUUGUUUUGCGAAAUCAUAAUUUGAAAUUAGAUUAAUUUGUUGUUGAGUCAUAUUUGGAAGAUGUCUUUAAGUUGUAGAUAUUUUUCAUACAAAAUGAAUGAAAAUUAAUGACAUAAUUUAUGAAAACUACUAUAUUCAACAUUUUUGUCGAUCAAGCGAUAUCCAAAUUUAAACUAAAAAAAAAAAAAAAAAAAAGUCACCUGCAUUGACAUUCGAUCAUAUAUAAAUACAAAAUAGAUUUUUAAAAAAUUCUUAAUUAUUUAUUUUUUAUUGUACUUGCUAGCUAUGUUGCACGGACUUUUUGAUUUUUUCGUCGAAUCCAUCUCGAUGCAAUAUCGAUAUUGGUGCAGGUGCAUCUCCGAUUCGGCGGCCAAACGAAUCCAGACACUUCGACCAAAAUCAAAACAAAUUUGAGAAAAAACUGAGAGUUCGACCUUAAAAUAAAUUUACACAGUAUCAUUGUCUUCUCUGUUUAUAUAUAUUUGCUUAAAGUUCCAGGCCAAAACAGAGGGAAAAAUUUUGGCCUCUCACUUCGUCUUAGAAGACCGGCGACUAUAACUUCAAAGUAAAGAAAGAGACAAAAAUCUCAACGAUUCUUUAUUACUUAUAUUUCUAUUAGAAUCCAUACUAAUAUAGUAGUAAGAUAAUACUUUUUUUUUUUUUUGUUUCUGAAGGUAUUCCCACAGCUGGCAGCCGUGAGAUUAAUUCUCCAUUCCUCGGUCAGCGCAUUUUACGGUAAGGAACUAGCCACAGAGUUUGCUCCAUUUGCCAGAAGCGGGAAUCGAACCCCCGACCUCUUGCUUAAGGGACAUAGCGCUGAACCAUUAUGUCAACUCUGGUGGUUCGAGAUAAUACUCAUUAAUAAUAGAUAUAUAAUAGUAUUUAUUUGAUUUUUUUAGUCAAAUCUUCGCACCUGUAUUUAUACUCAAAUUCGCACUGUCGAAUCUUAAAAUUUAAUUUUGACGAAUACGACUCACAGAUCCUCAAUCAUCUUGAAUAUCCACACUCGAAUCUGAGCAACUUAGCUUGCAAGGCCUCGUUCUUUAAAAUUUUUAUCUUGUGUGAGCAACCGUCUCAACAUUAUUGGAAGGUUGAGAUUAAGGAUGUGCAUUGGUUGAUUCAAUUUGAUUUUGUGCAUUAUCGAUUCAGUUUAUCGAUUUUCGAUUUGUAAACAAGCUAAAUUAAUAAAUGAGCCAAUAAGAUAUUCAUUGUCGAUUUUUGGUUAAUCAAUUUUUGGUCUUUAUCGGUUCGUUUUCUAUUUAACCGAUAAGAAAAUACUCGCUUAAUUUUUCUUUACUUUCUCUUGUUUUCAUUUGUUCUACAGUAUCUUCAUGUAUAAAGUUUACAUAAAUUUUAUAAACUAAGACAACAACUAUAAAAUACAAAAUUCAAUAAGGUAUGUAUAUUGAAUCUAAAACCACUAUUAUCUAAGUGUGAAUAAAAAUAUAAUUUUAAUAUAAUAUUAUUGGAUUAUCGAUUUGACGAUCAACUAAAACCUUAAAAUCGGACCAAACCGAUAACUCAAUAAAAAAUCUAUAAAAUCGUUAACCCAAUAACCUAAUAUCCAUAAAUCAAAAAUAUUUUUAUGAUUCGAUUUAUCAGUUGAGUCGAUUUUGCACAUUCCUGAUCAAAAUUACAAAAAUUGACAAUAAAAAAAUUCUUGAUUAUUCUGCAACGAAAGUUUAGUUGCCAUGAUAUCAUUUUCAAAAUUUUCAAUUAUAUACGUACGUAAAAUGUGAGUUUCAUGAUUAUAAUGAAAUAAAUUUGACUUUUAAUUCAAUACGAUAUAAGAUAAUUGAAGAGGGACAGAGGGAUCUCAUGUGUUUUGUUAAAUUGUGAAGGUGACGUACACAUUAAUCAACUCUUUAUAAAAGUGCAUUGCUUGUUAGGUCAGGAAUCAUUAGAGGGGUAAGGUAAGUAGGUGGUCUUGAAAUUACGAUAUCCAAAACAUAAUUUAUCAGUGUUUAGUAGCUUAUUCAUGUAAUUAAUUAUUUUUAUUUGCUUAUAUCCUGUAAUGAAAUUGAGAAAGUUGAGAAAAACUCUUCUAUCAGAAUUCAAAUGUCACAAAAAGCUGCUCAUCUUAUUUUACACUUGACAAAUAUGAAACCAAAAUUUUCCUUUUUUUUUUUCACUUGACAAUUGAGUGUUCGUACUCUAUAUCAAUAUUUGAUUAAUUACAUAAUUUAUUUUUUGAAUAUGAUGCCUCCAAUAAUUAAAAAAAAUUAUUCCUCGAGACUUGAAGCCAAACUUUUAAUUUAAGGGCGAAGGAUUUUCAAUCAUUCAAUCACAAUCUAUGUUUGUGAAAUCAACGGUUAAGACCACACUUGAUAUUCUUUUUGUAAAAUUCAAGGCUCGUCUUUUAAUAUUUAUUAUUUAGACCGGCAGGGUCGAUUAAAAGAGCUUUGAAUUAUAUCUAUUGCCAUGCUUUAAAUAGUAUUUUGUCAUGAUUUAUUUAUUUUCGUUAUUUUUAAUUUGUUUAACUUUGUGUCAAGGGUCUAUCUAAAGUAAUUCUCUACCUUUCGAGCAAAGUCGAGUCUCGAAUUUCUAUAACAUGAGGAUACCACUAAAAAAAAAGAAAAAAAAUAUAAUAUUUAGCGGAAAUUAAUCCCUAAUUGUUUAGGUGAUAACUCAACAUUCAAUAAGUGAAGAAUUAAACCUUCUUGUAGCAGAUAAUAUUAAAGUUAAUAACUUAAAGAGAUAAUACCCACGAAAAUAUCUGAACUUUAACCAAAUUUUCAGUUGAGCAUAUUGAAUUUUGCGGGGAUCCUAUUACACACCUCUAUAUUUUUAAGUGGAAUUAAUUCCCCCUCGGACUUUUUUAAAGUGGAAUUAAUUGUCUCCCGUAAAGUUAUACCCAGUUUUGACGUCGAAAAGUGUGGUACACGCGCUAUUUCUUCUCCAUUUUAUCACUUUUCAACAUUUUUUUCACCAUUAUAACCAUAUUAAAGAUUCCAUAACUCAAAUUCCUCCUACAAAUCAAAUUCCAAAUGAUUCCGUCCAUUCCAACUCAAAUUUCAAAUUCAAAUUGAAAACUUUCAUUAAUGAAAUCUUCAAAUUUGGAAAUUGAAAAUGGAAACUGAAAAUGAAAAAACAGGAAACUAGAAACUGAUUUGCAGGGUUAGACUCUUCAGCUGCUCUGUGGUAAACUUGAAGGGAACCAAGCUCCUUUGCGUUCAGUAAUUAGAGGCCACAUGGUACCUCAAGAGAGCACAGCUCCCAGAAGCAAAGAUAUGUUCACAAUGUGGGAACAAAUCAUUCCAGCCCCCACAUAAGUCCUGUCGAAAUCGAAGAAAAAACUGAAAACAUUCAAUGGUAUAAAUUAGUGCUAGUAGUAAUGCAAAGUCAUUCAUGAGCCGCUAAAAAUAUAUAGCAAGUACAUACGUUUGCUUCCAAGCUUUCAACCCAGACGUGGGGAAGUUUUCAAAUCCACAUUGAACUCCACCAGAGUAGAACCACUGAAAGAAACUCCAUAAGAAGCUGGAUGAGAAAACUUUCAAGAAUCCUUUAACCUGUUUCCUGAAAAUUUGACGAACACAAUUUUCAUUUCUCAAGAAAAGCUACUGUGCCAAGGCAAGUUCUUCCUAAUCACCAUGAUCCUGCAUACCUGGCCAAUUUAUCUCCCUUGGGUAUAUGAAAUUGAAUUUGAAUUUGAAUUUAAAAUUAUUCAAAGUAUCAAAUUGAAUUUGGGUGUGUUGAAGAUGACUCAUUUGGAUGUGUAUAGUGUAAUUGUGUUCAAUUUUAAUUCAAUAAUGGAGCAAACAUUGUUAAAGACUCCAUUGUUGAAGAGAAAAAAGAGAGAAGAGAGAAGAGAAAGAAUGAACAAAAAAAAAAAACUUUGAAUAAUUAGAAAAUUUAGGGAUUGUCUGGCAAAAAAAAUGAGUUUAUAACGUUUUUUAACGUCUUCACACGCUCAAUGCGCGUGUUUAACACGCAAUUGUCCAAGUGACAGAUAUAUGUCAUUAAAAUAUAAAAAAAAAAAUCUAGGGGUAAUAGGAUCCCCGCAAAGUUCAGUAUGCUCAAAUGGUAAUUCGGUCAAAGUUCAGGUAUUUUCGUAGGUAUUAUCCCUAACUUAAAUGGUCACUCAACUUUGGACUUUUAUCCUAGAAAGUCACUUAACUUUGAACUUUACUCAGAAUGUCACUCAACUUUAGAUGUCUUACUAAAAAAGUCACCCAAUCCAUUUUAUUAUUUUUUUAAAACUAAUUUUUGCUAAUGUGAAUUUUUUUUAAUAACAAAAUUCUGAAAAAUACAAAAUAUUUAUUUAAUAAUCCUUUUACCCUUUCUUUCAUCUCUAUUUCUUUCAUUUGAUAACCUACCUACAUUUAAGCUUGAGAGCCUAUAGUAUUUCAAUAGUUAAUCUUUAGUUCAUAUGAUCUAAAGUUAUUUUCUUAAUUGAGAAUUUUUAGUUAUUGUGUUUGUAAUUCUUUAUUACAUUUUUGUUCAUAAAUUAUGUUCACACGUGAUAAAUUUUUUCUUAUUAAAUUAGGUUCAUAUUAAUUAGAAAUUUUAAGUUGGUUGAUUGAUCUGUGAAUUACCUAACCUCAUAAUUCAAGGGGUCAGUAUUCUUUCUCUUAUAUCUCAUUGACUUUUCACGCAUCCCUCUUCAUUAUGAUUUUGUAGGCUUUCCACUUAACUUUUGGUUUCUGAAAAGUUAUUCUAUUUUGGUUAGUCAAAGAAGUUUGUUUUUCACAUAAUAGCGUAGCUGUAUAUAUUUGCACAAAUUUUUGAGAUUUUUUUUUGAAAGUUAGUCACGUAAUAGUCCUUUUUCUCAUGAAACAAAUACAAGUUCUAACCCUUUAUUAUUUGAGAUUCAUUUGUUGUUCUUCGUUUCAUCUUUAAAAGUAAAUUUUUGAGACACAACCAUAAAUCGAGAUAAGAAGGAGAGGAGAAAUUUCUAAUUAGAAAAAGAGGAAAGAGGAAAAGCAGGAAGGAAGCUAGAAAUCUAACUCAAGGGAAAUGAAGGAUAAAAGGGUAAAAGAGUCAUUAAAUGAAUUUUUUAUAUUUUUUAAAAUUUUGUUAUUAAAGGAAAUUCCACAAUAAGUAAAAAUUAGUUUAAAAAAUAAUAAAAUGAGUUGAGUGACUUUCUGAGUAAAAUAUCUAAAGUUAAGUGAUUUUCUAAGUAAAGUUUAAAGUUAAGUGACUUUUGAGGAUAAAAAUUCAAAGUUGAGUGACCAUUUAAGUUAUUAACUCGAUAAUAUUAUAUGUACUAAUUUUAGAAAAUAUAUACAUCAAAUACUUCUCCAAAGAAAGGGAUUCCCCAAAGAAGAGUAAAAUGUAUGGUCUAUCUUUUUUAACUCCACUUAUAAAAUUACAUUAGAUAUAUUAUUAUUAUCGUAACAAAUCUCAUGUAUUUCAUUUUCAAACCUUUUUCUUUUCUUUUCGAUCUUUUUCUUAUCUCUUGUGAAAAGAAUGAUACAACUACAGUCAUAUUUUUAUAUAGGAUCACAAAAUCAAAUUACAUAUAAUAAAUUAAACUAACUGGAAAUAUGAUUUCUGAAAGGGGGAGGAGGUAGUUGAUUAGUUAACGCUAACGAGCUGAGAAUAAUCAAAACCAUUGCCAAGGGUACGUUGUGGUGGAUUGAAAUAAUCCAUCCACUCUUACUCAAAAGCUUGGGUUGGAGCUUUGGAAAAGAAAAAAGAUGUAGUAUUCCUUUUCUAUUCUUUAUUUGUUCACAUUUAAUUUGAAAUAUCUCUCGAGAAACAACAAACAAAAGAGCAGUUUUAUCAUACCAUUUUUAGUCACGAUAAAUUAUCUUUGAUUUUUUUAAUAGCCAUGUAAAAUUGAACAAUUAUUUUUAAUACAUAUGACAAAUAAAGAUAAACGAAGGGAGUAAGAACUUUUCUUUAGGAGGGAAANNNNNNNNNNGGAAAGAGUCAAAAACACCUUAACUAUCCUAUUCUUUGUUUUGAGUUUCACACCUAAAAUUAUUGAAAGUUUGAUUGAGUUUCAUGCUUACUCCCACUCUAUAAUUAGAGAAACACAACUACUACUCUUUUAAAAGGAUUGAAACACUUUCUUUAAUGAAUUUCAAUAAAUCACCGUCCGAUGCGUUAAAGUUCUCCACCAUAAGCAAAGAAAGAGUCGGGCUGGCCUCAUUGUACAUUUUUGCAAGGCUAUUUCCAUGAUUUUAACCGGUGACCUCUCGACUAAUUCAGAAUUCCUCGCGGUUUAUUGGAGGGGUCGUCUGGACCAUUAUUGUGAUAUUUAUUUCAACAAUCCUCCAUAUUGCUCCAGAGCUGCAUGACAAGUAGAAAAAUUAUCAAUACUAGAAACUAGAAAGUUGUAAUAUAAUAUAAUAUUCAAGAAUGAACCAUCAAAGCAUGUGGUGCAGCUGAUGGAGAUGUUCCUUCCUUAACCAGAAAUCUCGAAUUCGACCCCGGGUAUAGAAAAAUCCUUCGUAGGGAGCGCUUCACCCGAAAAGCUGUGCGAAUCCAGAUUAGUCUGGCUUCAAUACGGGUACCGGACAUCUAAUGAGAAACCAAAAAUAAAUAAAUAUUCAAGAACGAAAGCCAAAAGAACUUGGAACUGGAACUUGUGAUCCAAAUUUGAAUAUGGUAAAACUAGGAAAGCCAGAGUUAUCUGAACUCAAACCCCCAAAGCUGCUCUUUAAUUAAGCUGCAAUUAUAGCAGCAUAGCUACAUGAGCAGCCAUUGAGGGAGAGAGUUCAGAAAACUCUGAAUUUCCAUUAAUGUCUCUUGCACAUAAUUUAAACUUUGUACGUAAAAAAAAAAUGCACAUAUAACUAAUUAAAGAGGAGCUAGAUUGAGAGUUCACGUAGAGGUAGCAAUCUAUUUAUAGGUAAUUUUGGGCCAACUUAAUUACUUAAUAUUUAAUUUUAUAUAUGUAUAUGUCUGGAAAUCAAGUAAAUAUAUUAAAAUGUGAGCAUUGUAUUUUUGCUGCUUCCUUUUGUUCUUUUGUAAAGGAAGUGUUACUGCUGAUGAAAUUGCCUCCACGACUACAAGUCUGAUACUAAAAGAAAAUUACCAAGGAACUUCACGUUAUGUUCCUUCCUAGAAUGUACUGUGAAAAUUCUAACAAAAUUAAUUGGAAAUUAAUUAAGAAAAUGUAAUUCCAGGUGAACAUUACUUCUCACUGAUAUGGAUUAAAAUAGACCACUCUUUCCCCUUUCUUCUCUUCUUCUUGUUUUCUAUUUCUACCCCGUUUAUAAUUUUAUUGUUCUCUUGUUAAAUUAUAAGUAUCAAACAUGUUAUUAUUGUGUUAUAGUUUAAAAAGAAUUCUACAGAGUGAUACUUGACCAAACUUCAUUAUAAGUAAUUACCUUUUAGUAAUUUGAUAAUAUUUUACAUCAAUGCUAUAAUAUUUGAUGUAGAUUGAAACGAAGAAAGUAUUAUUUAUGGCCAAACGAAUUUAGUACUUUAUCUGUUUUAAUUUGUUUAUCUUAUUUUGUUUUGAUAUGAAGUUUAAGAAAAUUAGUAGAACUUUUGAAUCUUGUUAUUUUGAACUAAAAAUAUGUCCAAUUUACCAAAAUGGGAUGAAUUACAAUGAAGCAAAACUCCUUUAUUUACAGGGGAAAACUAACCUUGAGGUUUGUAACUUUUCGAUAAAUAGAUAUACACAAUAUAUGAUAAACUAGGUAUUCACUAUAUAUGGUAAAGUAGACAUUUAUUAUAUAUGGUAUAUUUAUAACACUCCCCUUGAAUGUCUAGUUGGUAGAUAAUGUGUCUCGUUAAACUUUACUAGAAAAAACCAGUGGAAAAAAAAUCUAGUGAAGGAAAAAAAGUACACAUCUCUAACAAUACGCAUAUAGGCUGCCUCAUUAAAAACCUUAUAAGGAAAACUCAGUGGGACAAAACCUCAUAAUUGAAAAAGAGUACAACGUGUAUUAAUUCCCCCUAAUGAAAUCAUCCUUGAACCUUUGCAUCCCGACCUUGUACACCAUCUUCUUGAAAGUUGCAAUUGAAGGAGACUUGGUGAAUAAAACAACCACAUUGUCACUUGAACAAAUCCAUUGCACGUUAAUAUCACCAUUAAUAUCACCAUUAUGUUGGUGCUCAUGUAUGUAGAAAAAUUUUGAUGAAGUGUGCUUCGUUCUAUCUCUUUUUAUGAAUCCUCCAUCAAAAUGUGUUAUGCAUGUUGCAUUAUUUUCAUAUAAAAUUGUGGGUACAUUGUCACAUUUCAUGCCACAUUUUUCUCGAAUGAGAUGUCUCAUGGAUCUCAACCAUACUCAUUCUCGGUUUGCUUCAUGAAUAGCUAUUAUUUCAUCAUGGUUCAAUAAAGUGUCUAGAUAGACUGCUUUGUAUAUCUCUAAGAUAUGACAAUAUCCCCACAUGUGAACACAUUGUAUAUUUGAGACCGAGCUUUAUGCGGGUUAAAUAAAUACCCAACAUCAGCAUAACCAAUAAGAUCGAGACUGCAAUCUUUAGAAUAAAACAAGCUCAUAUGUUUGAUCUCAUUUCGAUGUAUCCUAGUAGGAGUAGAACUAUACCUUGCUAACAUAUUAACCGAAAAGGCUAUAGGCCUUUUAGUAUUUGCAAGGUACAGGAGUGCACCAAUUGCACUAAGAUAUGAUACUUCAUAACCAAUCCAAAUUGGUAUAUUUCUCAUUUCAGCAAAUAAUCUAUUUGCUUUUGAAAACUCUCCAAGAGUUUCAAUAAUUUUCAAGCUAUAAGCUUAUACAAUAUAAGGAUUCUAAAUAAGUUUUCGAGAAACUUUUAUAUGCUUCAAGUAUUUUGAAUCCUUAAAAGUUUUUCACAUAAGAUUUGUCAAGUAACAAUAUCCUGUUGGGUUCAAAAUCGAGAGGGCGUCAUGCGAAAGCUUAAAGUUUGCAAACCUUGAGACAAUAAAUUAGACAACAAAGAAAAUGAUACUAAAAAGCAUUAAAUUAUUAUAUGUUUUGACCAAUUGGCCUACAUAUUAUAAAACCUAAUAUCAAAAAACAUUAAACUUAUUGGGAGAAAUCUCCCCCUAAACAAAGACUCUUUAAAAACUACAUUGUGGAUGCUGUUGUGUUAUGAUAUGAGAAAAGGGUCUUCUAUUUAUAGGGUUCCAAAACCUUUCCUCCAAGAAAGAGGUUAGUCAAAUAUGAAAAAGUUUUAUAGUUUCUUUUCAGAAAAAAUAAAAGUAAAUAUGGUUACUCUUAUUAGUAAAUAUGGUUACUCUUAUUUUCCGUUUAAGAAAAAGUAAAACUUAAUUUUGGUAAGAAAAUCAGGGCAAAACCCCAACAUAUCCAACAUUUCAUGAGCGACAUCUUCAAGUGUCUGGAGUGCAAAUCAAAUAAGUUUUACGCUUACCAAAAUGCAUCAUUUCAUGUCACUUGAUAAUGUUUCUACGUCAGCAUGCUUAAAUAAACGUAGAAUUCAGAUCCUCGUAAUCUUCACAAUAUUGCACCAAUAUUGUAUCAAAGAUAUCGUCAAUGAUAUAUCAUUUUAUAUCGGUUCACAAUGUGACAUAACAUUUUGAGAUCUCAUCACUUCAUUAUUUUCAGGUACCUGAACCUUUCAUAAGGUUUAAGGAAGUGUUAUGUUGUAGACUCUUCAAAAGCACAUUACGUUCUUAUUAUGAUUAUUUGCUCUUUAUCCUUUUCAAGGAUUAUUUCAUUUAGAACCGAUUGGUCUAUAAUACUUCACACAUGCAUAAACUUUAUCCUUUAGGAACACAAAAUAAGAGUACUUGCACUUAAUAUGAGAUGUUUUCGGCAUUUGACUUGAAUUAUCUUUUGGAUGAAGAUCUGGUGAUAAUUCCCAACAUAUUUCAUAGCGCUUAUAAUCUCCUCCUUAUGUUAGGAAAACUAACAUACAUCCAUUACUUCUUUGAGGAAUCCAUCUUUGUGCAUUAUGGUAUAUUCAUUAAUCGUAUACCGCACAUCAAAAUUAUUAGAUGGAAUAAUCGGUUCCCGACCUUGAACCAAUUGAGAGGGAAAAAAUAAUCAUAAUUUAUUGGUCUAAUGCAUACAAGUGCUAUUGCAAUAUAUCAUAUUUCAGACCAAUACAUGAAGUUUUGUUCUCAUUAACAAUGGUUUAGAUAUUUAUUGAAGACAUUCAAUGCUCAACCAUUAUCAUCAAGAUGAAUUAUCUUGAUUACACAAUCUGAAAGUCAUGCUUAACUCAAUUUUAUUGAGCAAGCAACUUUAUGAAUGUCAAACUGCAGGUUGACAAUAAAUGUACAUGUGAUCAUCUUAUUGAUGCAUCAUUUUAACACAUCACAUGAUAGAUGAACUCAGAUUUACUAUUACAUGAAUAAAUUUCAGAUUUACUACUUCAGAAGUAGAUUUCAAAAUUAUUCAACCUCUUUCGGAGGUGAGGUUAUUCAACGACAAAAUCAUUUAAUAAGUUUCUCAUUCCCCAGUAAUGGAAUAUAAUCAUGCCUUAAGCCUAUCAAAGUAUAAUAACUUAUAACCUCUUUCAAGAUUUUGCUACUUCAGAAGCAAAUCAAGGCAUAUAUAUGAUGUAGAGAAUUUUUCUCUAGCAUAUCUUAUAAUCAUAUAAGCGUGUGAAAAUAUCAUCACUUUUGAUGAUCAUUAUCAUACUGUCUCUCUACACGUAUAUUCGUACAUUCAAUCACUUGUCUUCUUUCGGAUAUAUUAUGUACUGCUACCACAUACACCUCAAAAAUGAAGUAAGUUGUCAUAUUUCAGACUUAUCAUAUAUUGCUACCACAUUCACUUCAUGAAAUGGAGCAUAUUCAAUGGAUCGAAUUUCAUGACUUUUCACCCAAUAUCUUAUCAUCAUAAUGCAUCAAGACUUUAACUCAAUAUCUUUUUGAUGUGAUGAUUAUUCAGUUCACCAUGUUACCCUCGAUUAGUGACAUAAUAGUCUAGAGUAUAAUAGUGCAACUCAAUUAGAAAUAACUUAAACAUGAUAAAAAAAAUUUAGAAAGUACGUAUGUACUCGUUAGUUGGUGCAAAAACACUAUACAGAAACUUGAAAAUUGAUUAUAAAAGCUGUCAAAGAAUUAUAAACAAACUUUUAAAAAUCAACUAAAGCCAAUGUGAUGACAGCAUAUUAUUAAUAUUUUAUUCCUGUGAGUGGCCGUCCAUCUUAUCAUAAAUGCAUAUCUUACCAUAAUUUUGUGUGCUUCACUUGGAGCACACAGUGAUCAAUUUCAUAGACUCGUGUUGGUUGCUUGGUUGAGAAGAAACUUCACACAUUUCAUCAACAAGUUCAGUAGUAGGCUCGUGUUGGUUGCUUGACAUGUUAAUGAUCAAACAUGUUAAGCCGAUUGAAAAUAUUUGACGGCUUUAUCUCAAUUACUCAAUUGGUUACAGUUUCGUGCUGAUAACGUGUUAUAAAACAAGAAAGAAUAAAGAAGAGUAGAAAGAAUAGAGAGAGUAAUUUUUAUUUCUCUUGAGGGAUCUCUCGAUGGGAUAAUUACAAUGAAGCAAAACCCCUUUAUUUAUAGGGAAAAACUAACCUUGAGGUUUGUAGUUUUUUUUAUAAAUGAACAUACACAAUAUAUGAUAAAGUAGGUAUUCACUAUAUAUGGUAAAGUAGACAUUCACUAUAUAUGGUAUUUUUAUAACACCUAGGAACGAAUUUUGAAAAAACCAACUAAUCUGUGUAAUGACCCCCGAGCUGGCUCUUUUAUUUUUGAACCUGGCUAAUUUAUAUAUCUGUAAAAAAAAAAACUAUAUUUACAUUAAAGACUGAGAAAAAGUCCCACAACAACUGCGGUUAAUUAGAUGAAUGAUCUCUUUACAAUGCGUGACAAUUCUCUUCCAUUCGAACUAACUUUUUUGGUGUGAGUUAAGCUCAAAAUCUAAUUUUACAUCAUAUUAGAAAAGGACCCAUCUCACGUUGAGACUCCAAAUUAAAAAUUACCCAUGCAUCAGAUGACGACAUGAGGUGAGGUGUUAAAGAAUGAAAAAAGUACCACACUGAUAGUUGUGUGGGUUAGACCUAAAACCUAAUUUUACAGGUCGUUUAGAGAAACUGGGCUGGACAGGGUCUUGAUCUUACAUGGGCUUUAAGUGGAAAUUAGGUCGGCCCGGCCCAUUUAAUGUUGCAAUCUAUCAGUCAAUCUCAAAUGGGAAUUUCUGUCGGCCGUCGCUAUCUUUACCUACGUGCUGAAUAGUGAGCAGUUACUCACCAUUUUGUGUGACCUGAUUUGGAGGAUCAGUUCAUUUUUUCCGUAUGAAUUUGAACAUUGAAUAUUCUAAUUUUUUUUAAUAUUUAGAAAUUAUUAUACAAAAAUACUACAGCCUUAAGACACAAUAGUUAAUUACUUAAAUUAUUUAAAAGUAUUUUGAAAAUGUGAUAAAAGAAAAUAGUAACUACUGGUUUAAGGAAAAAAAAAGAAGAAAAUAUUGACUUAUAACAUCCUCGGAGAUACCCCAGAUUUACUGUUUACUACCUUUUUUUUUUACAUUAUCUUAUUAACAGAUUAUGUGCAUGUUAUACAUAGAUUAUAUAUACAUAUAUUAUAUAUUCACAAGCUAUUUUUAAUUUAACUAGUUGAGUGUGUGCUUAUUCAAUUUAAUUCUCCAGAAUGUAUAUUUAAUAAUGGAAACACUAUAUAUGCACACUUUUGCUACUCUAUAAAUCAUUCAUCUUUUAAGUUUCAAGAAUUUUUUGACCUUUUAGCAGACAGAAAUAGCGUCUUUAAUUUGCUUUUCAUGAUAAUUGUUUGAAGAGUAACUCAUAAUGUUUUGUAGAGCAUGGUUGUGAAUCAGAAAAUAACAUUGUCUCGAUAUAUAAGAUAAAGUUAAUUAUUAAUCAGAAGAACUUUUUAGAUUCAUAUUUUACCAAAAAAAAUAAUUUAAUAGAGGAUUGGAACUUGUGAAGAGAGGUAGAAGCAUCAAUUCUGCGCUGACGCUCGUUUUUCCAAUGUAUUGUCAAUAUCCAUUCUGAGGGUUGUUACUAUAUGUGCAUGUCUUAUCUCUUUUAGAUCUGUUUUUUUUUUUUUAAAUGUUAUUUUUAUAUGUUGGUAUCUUCUUAAAUUUAGCAUUUCAAAUGCCACAAGAUUCAAAGAACGUUUUUGUGUGUUAAACACAUCCUUAGUUUUAGGUCGCCAAAAUUCAAAAAUCAUUUUUACUUUCUUAAAUACAAAAUUAGUUUUAGGUCGAUAAAAUUCAAAAGUAUUUUUUACUUUCAUAAAUUCCUCAUGCUUAGUCUAACUAAUAAGACACAUUUUAAUAUAGCUAGGGCGCAUGCAAGUGCUUUUGUUCUGAUUCUGAAAAUUUCCACAUAGCUUUAAGGCUUUUCAGAUCCAAUCACUCACAUAUAUAGCUGACUAAUUAAAGAGGGGGAAUUAAAUUAAGCCCUAGUUAUGCAGCAAAAAUGAUUUUAAACAUUACCAUUAUGUUUAGUUCAGUGGAUCAGUUAGCUAGUUACUUCAUUUACAGUUAAUUUGUAAUAACUAAAAUGAACUUAAGUUAAAACCAAUUUUUGAAGAAAUAUUAAAAGGUACUAGGUUGAGUCCGACAUUUUAUUUUAAAAAGUAGGUUCACAAUGAAACUCAACUGUUUUCUAGGGUUACUUUUAUAUAUAUAAAAUAAAAUUUUAAAGGAAUCACAUCGUUUUCGUAAUGUCCAGACUUUUUCGUUACUCUCCCCAUUUUUUUUAAUACGUGUCCUUCAUUUUUUGUGAGUCAAUUUAGUUAAGUUUCAAAGUUAAAUUAAAUUUGAUUAAUUUAACUGUUUAAAAUUAAAAUUCAAAAGCAAUAUGCAAAGCACUAUAACUUAUAAUUUUUCUUUUUUCUUUUUCAAUUUGAUUAAUAAUACUUCUUAAAAUGUUGGUCAAAAUUUAUAUUGUUUGGCUCUAAAAAGAAAAAAGAGUAUAUAAAAAAGAAUGGAGGAAGUAAUAUUUAAACGACUACCUUUGUACUAGUACCUUUUUCUUGAUAUUGAUCAGAAAAUGACAAAUAAAAAGAGCUUUUAAUUACUGUCUGAUUGGAUGCAGAAAUAAAAUAAUACUAUUUAAAAUUAAGUAUUUACAUAUUUAUGUGUUUUAAAUACAUUGUAGAAUAAUUAGACUUUGUGUGAAUAUAAUUAUCUUCUAAAAGAUAAAAUGAGUACUUUGAAGUUAAUUUUUUUUUUAAAAUCAAUUUGUUUGUCUUAAUUUUAUUUGCACAUGGUUUAAAAAGUAAAAGAAAUAUUUUUAAAUUUUAUAAUCUUAAAUAAAAGAUAGUAUGUAUAAUGUACUAAAUAACCUUUAAUCUUGUGAUUUUAAGCACAACAUAUAAAAUGGUAAAAUCAAACCGAGUCACAUAAACUCAGACCGAAAGAGUGUUCAUGGUAUCAAAUAUAAUUCUUCAAUAUAUAGGAACUAAUAUAUCCCUUCGUUUAAAAAAAUAAUUGAAUUUUAUAAUUUUAAAUUUAAAAUAUAUGAAGUGUAUUAAAAUGAUAUUUAAUCUAAGAUGACUCUAGUGGUCUUAAAUACAUGAGGUAAAAGUUAAAAUUAAAGUGUUUCCAAAGAGAUGGAGCAUGAUUUUUGAAGGAGUAGAGUUAAUUAGUUGACUGGUUAUUUGACUUAUAAUUGGGAGAUGAAAGAAGAAUCGAAAACUAUCAUAUUCUAGCUCUUAUUAUGAAUGAAGCAGUAUUUUGUACAGUAUAAUUUUACAGGAAGAAAUUUUAAUUGAACCUAUAAUUCUUCAAAAUGAGCUUUGCAACUGUGCCAUUAGCUGUGCAUGAUAAGCAGAAGAUCAAUUUAAAAGUGGUAAUUAAUAUAAUAAUAUUCCAGGAUAUAUAAGACAAAAAUUAAAAAAGUAUGUGUAAGGAACUUACUGUACGAACUUAGCCUUUGGCCUGGCAAUAGUGAAUUGAUCUGAAAACUAGGAAGGCCAGAGUUUCCUGAACUCAAUCUCUCAUGGCUGUUCUUUAAUUAACAUAUAUACGAGCAGCCAUUGAGGGAGAGAGUUCAGAAAACGCUGGAUUUCCAUUAAUGUCUGCGCGCACUCUAGCGGCGAAUCACUUCUGAAUUCGUAUAAAGUUAAUGUAAAAAGAAGCAUAUACACAUAUAUAAGCUUUGUAUCUAUAUAUGUGUACUGUUGAAUAUAUUAGCCUAUAAGGUAGAACUGAACUGAGGAGGAAUCAAGUAGCUUGGGAGUUGUGGCUAAUGAACUAUUUAUAGGGUAUGUCCCAGCCAAUUAAUUUACUCCUCAAUAUAUUCUAUUGUUGUUUCGAAAUUGGAGAAAUAGUAUAUAUAUUUAAUAUUAAAUUAAAAAGUAUAGCUGUAACCUUGUUCAUUCCAGCCCUCCGUUAACUAUAUUUUUCCUUUUUUUUUUUUUACAAGAAAGUGUUGCGGUGUGGUUUAGGUAAAUCCCACUUUAAUGUAAUAGCCUGCCAAUUAUACCUGAGAUGCAAAUUAAACUAGACAAAUUAUGUACGAAGAUCAGAACCCAAAAACUUAUGUAGGCGAUAUUGAACUUAACAACCCCCCUCCUCAAUCAACUCACCAUCUGUUGGAACUUUGAAGUUUUGAUGAAUGACAAUAUUAAUGAAACAAGUUGAUAUGAGUUAAUUCAGUGCAACCGGAAACUUCAACUUACUGAUGGAACCUUGAAGUUUUGAUGAAUGAAAAUAUGAAUGAAACAAGUUGAUAUGAGUUAAUUCAGUUCAACCGGAAACUUCAACUUACUGAUCACAUGAGGAAUAAAACAAGUUGAAUUUGAUUCAAACACUUAUGAUAAGGGAAAGCAAGUUGAGUUGAAAAAGGAGUCCUACGUAAAGAAGGAGUUUCACUUCUGAGCAUAUCCUGAAGAGUCUAUGCUGAAGAGUCCUAUGUGUAAAAAGAGAAAGAUUCUACAGAUUGAAGAUGUCUACGCAAGAUAGGAAACAUAUAAAUUGAAGGACUCUUUGUUAGAUCAAUGAAGUGUUUGAUGACUGACACAUGAAUGGAACAUGUUACUUGACCUGGUCCAAGCAUAGGAAGGCAGGUUUCAGGUUUUACUGAUAGAUGCAGACAAAGAUUGCUGAAAGUCAGGAACGAAUGAGCAAGCCUAAUUCUGAUAUACUCAAGACACUGAUCACGUGAGAAAUUGAAGAGGUUGUGGUUGAGUAAAAUACUUGAAGAUAAGUUGAUUUAAAGAGUUGAAGUUUGACUACAACACUAAGGAGACAAGAGUUAGAAUUAAAGAAGGAGUCUCACCACCUACACGUCUUACUUUUACUGUUAUAUCGGAAGUUACUCCACGUAUUACUUGACGUAAAACGGAUAGUGGAUUUGAUUCUGUCUUUUGAUGAAUCUUUUUCACGGCUCGAUAGAUAAUUUGAUAAGCCAAUGAUUUUUUUUUAACUCUAUGUAAUGAGAGUUUUGAUUAAAGGAGGAGUUUAAAAUAAAGAAUGACUCUUUGGAGAGCUGUGCUUAAAUAGAAGAUGCAUCAUUCGGAGUAAUUCACGCACUUACAAAGCAGAAAAGCACAAUCGACAGAUUGACUACACGAAGUGCUAUUCAAUCACUGAAGAAACAUAUUGAAGAACCAGGUCCUAAGUAUAGAAUCCAGCUAAGAGUUUUAGCUAUGAUUUUUAGAGUUGUUCAUUGUGUUUGAGCUAUUGAUGUAAUAUUAGUUUCAGUGUGUUAUAAAAUGAAUUAGGAGAUAGUCUUCGAGUUGGGGAAAACUCAGAGACUUUGGGAACGCAUACCUUUGAGAGGUGUGUCUAGUUAGGAAUUAGAGUUUAUAAUUCCUAGUCGUUAAGUUAAAACGUUUUGUAAUCCGUCGUUGUUGAGGCUCAGAGUUAUUUAGUGAAGUUGGGAUUAAAUCCUGUAGAGGUGCAGGUCGUGGUUUUUUACACCUUUUGAGCUGGGUGUUUUUCACGUAAAAAUCAUUGUAUUCUUUACUUUCUGUUUUACUGCUUCCUUGAAGCACGUCAGUGUAACACGUCAGGCAACCCGUUCUAUCGAUAAAAAAAUCAUUGUAUUCUUUACUUUCUGUUUUACUGCUUCCUUGAAACACGUCAGGCAACCCGUUCCAUCGAUAAGCAACAGUUAGGCAAAAGUAAGAUAAUCAGUAGGACACGAACUCUAACACCAUCACCCAAAUAGUAAAGAAGAACGUGUUAUUGUUGGUUGAUAAACUUCUAAAGUCCCUCCAAAAAUCUGGUCCUCAAACAAAUUUACUAAGAAAUUUCACGUUAAAUACUUAUUAAAUAUCCCUUUGGAGAGGGAAUGGGGUACGAAAUUUCUGCCAAACUUGCACCUAAUUAAGAAAAGGUAAUUCCAGGCAACCAUUACGUGUCAUUGAUAGGGAUUACAAAUGGAGUGAUGGACCACUCUUUCUUCGUCUUAUUACUUUCUUUUUUUUUUUCUGUAAAUUUUCAUGCAUAUAUAUGAUGUUAUAUUCAUUUCAUUUUAUCUGUCUUAGUUUGAUUGGAAUAUUGUGAACAAAUUUUUUUGAGCAGUACCUUUUAAUUCUCUGUCUAGAAUUCGCCUUCAAUAAAUUGUGAAAGCACACUAUAAAAUGGGGGUUGGUUUUCCAAGUUCAAAGGAUCCUAGGACAAGAAAGUAAACCAAAAUAUGAGAGAUACCACUAUCAUAAGAGGAAUCGACUACUCUUUGGUGUCUUUGAGUUGACGAGGAUGUCCACGUUAAUUUGGAUUGACUUCUAAUUGUUAGGGUUUUUGUCCUGAUUUUUUUGCUAUAUUUAAAUUUUAUUUUUUCUUAGAAGGAAUAUAAAAGUUACCAUAAUUACUUUUACUGAAAGAAAAAAUAUAAUUCGUUUCCAUAUAACCUCUUUUUUGAGGAAAAGAUUUGGACAUCUAUAAAUAGAAUAUCCCUUCUCAUACCAUAACACAGUAGCAUCCACAAUGUAGUCAUUAAAGUCUUUGUUUAGGGGAUUUUCUUCCAAUAGAUUUUAAAUUUAUUUUAAUUUAGUUUUAAAUAUGUAGGCUAAUUGGUCAAAUCAUAUUCAAUAAUAUAUUUUUAGUAUGUUUUUUAUGUCAUUUGAAUUAUCACCACGAUAAUUUACAACUAAUAGCUUCCGCAUAACGCCCUCUCGAUUUCGAAACCCAACACUAAUUAAUAAACAAAAACAACACUUCAAUUUAAUUUAAUUUAAUCUCAGUAAUUUGUUGUGAAAAGUCUGGUUAAGACUUGCGACAAAUGGACCUCGGAUAAAUCUUUCUUUUCACAUAUAUAUGCCCUAGUUAUGCUCUGACAUUACUAAUAUCGAAGCUUAAAUCUUAAUAGACGAGACUUGUAUGGUUAUUAUAUUUAUCUACUCAUGUUACUAGUACUUUUGUUUUAAUUUUUUGUCCGAUUUUGAGUUGACACAAAGUUUAAGAAAGUGAAGAAAACUUUUAAAUACAUAUUUUUAAAUUAAAGAUAUAUAGAAAGUACUAGAUGUCCUUUAAUCUUGUCAUCUUAAACAUAAAACAUGCCAUGUAGAUAGUUAGAAUUAAAGAGUCGUUGAAAAAAGAAAUUGACAUUCUUUUUGAAACAAUUUUUUUUAAAAAAUAACUAAAACAAACAAAUUAAAAUAAAGAAAGUACCUAGUAAAAACUUAAACGCGUCCGCGGGUGUAUACACCAAACUAAAGUUUUUUAUCAUGGUUAAGUAAUUAAAUUAAAUAAAAUACAUGCUAAUUAAUUAUGAUUAAGUAACAUGAACUCAAAAUUCAAAUACAUGGUAUACAUGUAGCAAUUAUUAUGAACAGUUAGUUAUAGCUAUAUUUCAGUUUAUUUGAUAUAGUAUAUAAUAAAAUAGUCAUAAAUGUCGUGUCGUGGCAAGUCACUGUCUUGAAAGUGAUUGACUCCGGUGCAAAUCCUUCUAGCCGGUCGCUCCCAAAGUUCCACAGCUAUUUCCAAAUACGUGCAUUCGUGAUUGAAAGUUUGGAGGUUGCUCAAAAUUAUUGCCCAAAAGUAGAGAACUUAGGAGGAAGAUAUUUUUCUUUUACUUUGUUGGUGGUGUAUUUUUUAUUCUCAAAUAAAGUGGUUUAUAUAGGUAAAGAACAAAGGAUGUUACAAGAGUGAGUUAAUGGUGAAUUGAAUAAAGUUACUCCUCACCAAAUAAAUUUAUCCGUUCAAGGAAUGAAUUAACUUAUCUAGAACUAACUCAUCAAAUAAAUUCUUACGUUUAAGAAGAAUUGAAAACACACAGUUACAAAAGAAAUAAUAAGUUACAUUUUCUCACUAUGUAUCUUGUAAAUGUAUUUGAACUUCUCUUUUUGGAUAAGCUUAAAGAAGCUUUAGGUUUUGACUUUACAUUCUAACCAUUUAUUAAAAAUGCUUUCAACCAGCACUUAUACUUGUAACUACAUAAGUGGUCCAAGUUACCUGCUUAAAUCGCACUUAAUUGUUUUUGACAACCCUAAGAUACAAACUCUUAUUUGCUAAAAAAAAUGUUUUGCAUGAAUUGAUUUUGCUAUUUGCUAGGCCCAAUCAUAAUAUCUGAACUAUUUUCUUAACUAAAAAGAAAAAAACCUUGGAAUUCUUGUUAUGGUUAUUGUGCAAGCUCUCUUGUCUUGUUAUAAUUUGAAAUAUUGGCGUCUAAAAUCUAAAUUUAUGCAUGGCUCGUUGCUUUUUUCCCUUUUAAUUUGUCCAUUUAUAAAUUUGUAUCAUUAAAUUGGAAACCAACCGAAUUACAUAGUAACUCAUGUACUAUCCAAAGGGGUGCCAAUGCUCUAACGAUUAUAAGCAUCACAGACAAUCGGAUAUAUAGGUGGUUAAUUAAUUAGAGAGAUGCCAUAUUUUAUGGAUGGCAAAUCAGAAUUAUGUAGGACUUUAACAAAUAAUUAGACAAUGAAAUAUCAAAAGAAAACAGAAAAACUUUACCUGAUCAAUAAUACAAUCGCACCAAUUACUACUUACCAGAUUACUAUAGUCUAUAGAAUAUAUAUUGAGUUUCUUUCUGACUAAUAUAUAACAAAAGGAAGAAACCAAUAAAGUUCUAAAGGAACCUUUUCUUUUGGACUGUAUAUGCCUCCACCCCCCUCUUCCCACACACCCCACCCCCUCACCCCUUCCCUUUUUUUUCACUCGAUGUUUGAUAUUGUCAGGGAUGGAUCCAGGAUUUUCAGUGAGGGGGUUCAGUAGUACAUAUACGGAUUAAUCGAAGGGGGUUCAGCCUCUAUUAUUUAUGCAUAAUUUUUUUUUUUUUACCAUGUAAAAAUAGUAUAACUUUCCGACGAAGGGGGUUCGAAUGAACCCCCUGGAAUAUAUGUACAUCCACCACUGGAUAUUGCUAUUAGGGUCUGAUAAAAUUCAAAUUCACUCCAGAAAGUCCUAUAUUGAGGCCAAGCGGCUUCCUAGCAAAGGUUGCUCCAUACCUAGCAAGGCUCAACUCAAAGACCUUUGAUUAAACAUAAAGGACUACUUGGUGUUCGGAUUGUGAUAGACGAGAAUCAUGACUUUUAAAUGUUUUGACCUAAUAAUUAGUGCUUUUUACCUAAUGUGCGAGUUAAUAUGUAUAUUUUAUUUCAAAACACUUAGAGAUUCUAUAUCUAAAUUCACUGUCAAAAUUAAAAAGAUUUAUCUUUGAAAUUCAACCUAUAUGACACAUAAAUUAAGACAGGACGCGUAUACAUAUAGGUUAAACUACGUUGAUCGUGCACACGAAUUUUUGCUUCCAAAGCAUAUAUACUAUACCUUAAAUCCCAUAUGUAUGUUGGUACGUAUUCCUUCCUUCAUCCCAUGCAUGCAUGGUUUUUCUAUUUCCUUUUUGAAUACACUGUAAAAUGAUCUACAGAAAAGAGCAAGGCUUCAAGAGCCUCGCAAGCUUCCAACAUUUCAACGCCGCAGCAAAAGCAAAAACAGUAACUAGGUUAUUAUUAAUUAUCUGACAGGUAAUGCUUUGUGCAUCAAACUGUUUUUUUAAUACUACUUGCUAUAGUAGUAGUGAGCUGGAAGCUGAAAUAUUGGAAGCCUUUAAGGGCCAUUGAAAACUUCUCCAAUAUACUGAGAAAAAAAAAAAACAUCUCUUUUUGUUCUCACUGCUUGGCUCUUUGGAAGAACCAGCCAAGAAACUAACCAGAUGUAUAUAGCUAGGUCCAGAGCCUAUAGUAAUAGUAUUAAUUAUUGGACUCAUCAGUCUAAUAUUUGGUGAUCUAAUUUACCUGACAUCACAUGAGUACUGGAUUAUUACUUUAUCUAAUCACUACUUUAAUUUUAAUGACCAUGUAAAACAAGAUAGCCCUACGUGUCCCCAUUUGUCACUUCUAUAUAAAGUUUAAUUAAAGCCAUCCCACGUCCCAAUUUACAUGGGGAAAAACGUGAAGUAAAAUACCAGAAGGGUGCUCAUUCAUCAACUGAAGAGUCAAGAAUUAAAUAUGUUCUUGAAUUUUUUUCCAGCUGAAAAUUAAACAGGACUGGCUUAGGUAUAUAUAUCUUUAUUUAUUUAUUUUUUCUCUAGAGAUCUCCGACUUGAAGAUAUCCUAAGAUUGAAAAUCCUAAUAGCUCAGUUAAUUGAUUUACUAUAUGAAUUUUACUUUGUUAGUUAGAAUUGAUCAAUUUCCUAAUUCCCUAAUCCCUCCCCAUAAUAGUAAUGAAAAAAAAAAAAGUUCUGGGUUAAAGAAGUUGGCCACUACCUUGGGUAGAGUACGAGUCAAUAUCUAUGGGCCUGGAAAUCCACUGAUUUAUAUUUGUGUUAGUUUUCAAGCAGUAGGUAUUUGCCACCAUCACAUACUUUUUACACCCACUGUCCAUCGUUCUCUGGACCACAUUGUAUUUUUAUUUUUUAUACACCCUCAAACAGACAUGUGUUUUUGCUUUACUAAUUUUCUUUUUGGAUUUAAAAAAAGGAGUGGGGGAAGGAGAUGUACUCACCGUAAUUAUGAGAAAUUAAACCCUCACAAACAAGGUUGAAAUAGUUAAUCAACUAAGAUCCUCUUAUUGAAAUUUAAGUUAUAUAUACACCAUACAUAGUUUUCAAAAAAAAAAUCUGCAAUACUAACUAGCACCAUUCAAUCAAUUAUUAUAUGUUAUUGCGCUUUUUAUAGUAUCGGUUGCCAUAUUAAAUUUUUGGUGAGUAGUAACUUUUUGUUCAAACAAGAAGAAUAAUAUAUAUAGGAGUAUAUAAAAUCAUAAGUUUUAAAAGUAAACUAUCUUAUUUAAACAGUCCAGUCAAAUUAUGCCACGUAACUAAAGAUCCAUCAAGGGUCAUCAUCUAUUCCUAUGCCACCUCAGGGUGUCAAGUGGGUCGGGUACAAAUUGGCCCGGUGUGACCCGACCCAAUAAGCCCAAAGGCUUUAGGUAUCGGGUCCUGGGCCUUUUUUUAAAAUUUGAGCCCAAUUAACUCGGCCCGAACCAAGUUCAUUUCAGGCCCGUUGGUUAAUCGUUCCGGCUCGAUUUAAAAAAAUAAAAAUAAAAAUUGAAUUUUGGGUCAAACUGGCCGUUGGCCCAAUGACUAUAUAGCCGUUUUGGGGUCCGAACGGUUAAUUUGGGCCCAUUAAUUAAAAAAUAAAUACUUUUAAAAUAAUUUUUUAAUCCUAAAAUAAAUUCUAUAAAUACCCUACACCUUCAAAUCAUUUUUCACACAAUUUUUCACUCUCUCAAAUCUCAUUCUCUCUCAAUUCUCAAUUCUCAAAUAUUCAAUAUAUUGAAUUUCCUAAAGUGCUCACUUUAAUUUUGCGUUUACAAAGUACGAGUGGAAGUUUAUAAAUUCGCAAACUUCGGAUACUUUCAAAAUUUGGUAUUGUCGUUCCAUCUCUUACGUAUAAUUUUUAUUUAUUGUAUUAAUUGUUGAAUAUUUAAUUUUAUUAUAUUUGUAUAUUUUGAAUUUUUUUAGUUUAAUUUAAUUUAUACUAUGGAUAAAUUAAGAAACCUCACUACUAAAGGUGUUAAAAAAUUUUGUCCCGAAAAUGGUAGUGGUAGUAAAAAGCGAAUUACUAGUGGUAGAGGUACUUCAAGUAAUAGAUAUACCCAUAUGUCUUCGCCUCCGGUACUGCUUGGUACACCUUUUGAGGAAGAAAUAGGUAUAGGUGCUCACGAUAUAGAUUAUGUAGAAGCUCAGGAAAAUUACGGUAUAAAAGAAUAAAAUGAAGUAGAUGCGGUUAAUUUAGACGAAGAUGAUGAAAAUAUUGAUGAGACACCCGCAGUAAGAAAUGCUAACGUUAUAUCUGAAUCGGUUAAUCUCCCUCCCUAUCCUCCCUGUGCCCCAUAACUCGUAAAACAACUAGUAUUGCAUGACAAUUUUUUGAACGAAUAUCAGAUACUGAGGUGCAAUGUAAUAUUUGUCAACAAAUAUAUAAGCAUAAAAGCGGAGGCAAGCAAAGGUGUACGGAUACGUUAAUGAGACAUAUAGGUGAUGCUCACAAAAGAGAGUUAGAAAUUGCACGAGGUGGUGGCGAUGUUGAUGGGCCAACGCAAACUAGAAUGGACCCAGCAACCGAUCAGGUAAUGAAAAAGUAUAAUAAAUUGAGGGACCGAAAAGAAAUAGCUAAAAUGAUAGGUGUGGGUUCUUCUUCUGAUGCCUUUAUUCAUUGCAUUCAAACUAUUUAUAAUCCUAUGUUUAAUGGCGUUCCUAGAAGUACUUGUCGAUCUGAUAUUUUUAGACUUCAUUCACAAUAUUAUUUUUAUUUAUCAACAUUGUUAAAAAAUAUUCAAUGUAGAUUGUCCCUAACUUCUGAUCUUGAUCGCUCUGUAAAUUAAAAUGAUUAUUUAACCGUUACUUGUCACUGGAUGAAUAGUAAUUUUAUGAUGCAAAAACGUAUUCUUGCUUUUUUAUAUGAUGAAGACCAUAAAUAUACUGGAGAUUUUAUUGCUGAUUCUAUUGUUAAAAUUAUCGGAUUUUAUGGUAUCGAAAAUAAAAUCUUAUGUAUUGUUUUUGAUAAUGCUUCUAACAACAAGACUGCUAUAAAAAAAAAUUAUGUUAUCUCCGUCGUUGCCUGAAAUUUUUCAUAUUAAGUGUGCAUGCCAUUUUUAUAAUUUAAUUGUAAAAGAUGAUCUUGAAUUUUUUGAGCUUUAUAUUGAAAAAAUUCGUCUUGCUGUUGAUUUUAUUCAAGGAAAUAAUCAGAGAAAAAAAUUAGAGAAUUUAAAAUUAAAUGUCAGGAAAAUGGACUUGCACCGAUAUUGAUGUUUGGGAAAAUUGAUAUUAGAUGGAAUUCUACAUAUGAUUUUUUAAAAACUUGUUAUAAAUAUAGAGUUCUUAUUACACUAGCUUUUAACCAACAUUGCGGUUCAUUUACUGAUUCUGGUGAUUGCAUGCUACAUGAUUCUGAUUGGGUUGUAAUUAAUGAUCUUAUUAAGUUUUUAGAAAAAAUUUAUGUAGCUACGGUUGAAUUUUUCGGUGCGUAUUAUCCAAUUGUUUGUAAUAUUUUGAGAUAUAUAGCCAAUAUUUCUGGUUUGCUUAAAAAUAUAAAAAUAAAGAUGGUUAUAAAGAAGCUGUUAGUGCCAUGUUUACUAAAUUUAAAAAAUAUUUUUUGUCGAUUUCCCCUAUUACUUGGUUGGUGCUAUGUUAAAUCAGUGCAUUAAAUAUAAUACUAUGUGCCACUUUAGUACUAUUAUUUAUGCUAACUUAGAAAUAAAUACUAACAAUGAUUCUAAACAAGUACAACUUGAUUUGUGGACGGCUAUGAGUGAUGCGAAUGAAUACAUAGAAAAAUUAUACAAUUACUAUGCUGAUUUAUUUGACUUAGCCGUACCUACAAAUAUCUCUCCAACUGUCGCUCCUCAUCCUCCCAAGUAGCCAUCAUUUUCUAAAAGACCAGCACAUAGUGAUUUUCCUGAUUCCUUUUAUGAUUUACCUUGUUGGAACAGUGUUGAUGAAAGAACUUACACCUCAACUUAUCGGGAGAAGCUGAAAUAUUAUCUUUGGUUGCCACCCGAGGGGAUCAACACGUUGGAUUGGUAGAGGAGUGAUGAAACAUAAUAUCCUGUGCUUUCAAGAUUAGCUAGAGAUAUCUUGAAUGUUUCAAUGUCAACCGUUGUAUCAGAGAGCGUCUUUAGUCUGGGACGACAACAACUUAGAGACAACCGACACUAAUUGGGAAGCAAUGCAAUGAAUGUUCCAGUUUGCCUCAGAGAUUGGAUCAGAGCGGAAAGAAGAAACCAAGGAAUGGAACCGGAGCCGAGCGACGAGCUGAAACUUGAAGAAAUUAUGUCUUCACGGGAGAACUCAGCAGAAUCAAGUCCAAUGCAUGGUUUUACCCCCGUUGACUUUGACUAUCCUAUGCAAGUUUCCGCUAAUAUUAACAUGAAUGAGAUGAAAAAAAAUGAUGCAUAAUUUAUAGAUUUUUCAUUCAUGUAAAUUAUAAAUUUUGGAUCAUUUCGCAAUUCGCAAUCAAUUAAAUUCGACAUUCAUCAACUCUUUAGUCCUUACUUUAUAAUUUUUUUCAUUUAAUGAUUUAAAUUGAAUUUCUAGUUUAAAUUUAAAACUUACUUCUAAUAUAUUAUUAAUUUACCACCAAGUAUUAUUAAUAAUUUAUUAUAUUAAGUAGCAUAUGUUUUGUAUAUUUAUGUAUAUAUNNNNNNNNNNNNNNNNNNNNNNNNNNNNNNNNNNNNUUUUAUUUAAAGUAGUACAUAUAUAUUGAAUGGUGCGUAUAUUUGUGUGUAUAUCUUCUAUAGACGUGCAUAUUUAAUGUAUACAUGCAUAUGUGUUUUAUAAAUUAGUAUAUAACUAUAUAUAUACUAGUAUAUACAUAUAUUGUAGUAUAUGUUUUACUUAAAGUAGUACAUAUACAUUGAAUGGUGCAUAUCUCUGUGUGUAUAUCUUCUAUAGACGUGCAUAUUUAACGCAUAUAUGGGCAUAUAUUUUUUAAAUUAGUAUAUAACUCUAUAAUAUUUAUAUAUAUACUUAUAUAUAUUGUAGUAUAUAUAUGUUGUAAUAUAUGUUUUAUUUAAAAUAGUACGUGUAGUCGUAGUUAUUGAAUGGUGCAUAUAUAUGUGUAAUUGUGUACAUGUGUAUAUAUUUUUUAAAUUUUAAUGUAGUAUAUAUUAUAUAUAUAGUGUAUAUAUAUUGUUAACGUAUUUAAAAUGUAUAUAGGUGGAUAUAUAUUGUGUAUAUUGAAAAAAGUUUUUUUUUUUAAAUUUUUGACCGGGUUUGACCGAAUUUUUAAUCGGAUUUGACUGGGUUUAGUUGGAUUUGACCGAGUUGGGUUAAAUGAGCCGGGUUAGGGUGAUUUUUGAAAUUUUUACUGUUGAGCCUGGAUUAGCCCGGUCCACUUAAAACCAACCCGGCCCGGCCCACAACUCAAUUAAUUUGUAUAAAUAACACAAAUACCAACCUUUUAAAAGUAAUUACACUUUUUCUCAUUUUUUUAAUUAUUUUAUUCUCUCUCCCUAUUAAUGUAUAUAACAUAGCCGACAUAUACAUAACAUUCUGUCUAUAUGUGAAAUUUUUGUAAUAUAUUUAAAAAGUUGAGAUUUUUUGUAAUAUUGAAAACAUAAAUUGUGUAUUUAUGUAAUUUUUAAUAAUUUUAACGUCGAUCCACUUAACACCAACCCGACUCGGCCUAACCCACAACCCGAUUAAUUUUAACGGGCCGGUUCUGAAUUGUCCCGCUCACUUGACAGCCAUAAUGCCACCCAUAGUGGCAUUGAAUGGAGUGAGCUUCUUCAAGUGUGGUUUGAAUCGCUGCUAGUUUUAUAAAACAAGGUACAAGGAGAACUUCGUACAAAACACAGAACUAAGAUCCAACUACGAUCAGAAGUACAUAACAAAAAAAUCUAGUUAAUUUCGUUAAAUAUAUGCUCACUUAUGUAUUACUUGACUUGAUCCCUUUAAUUUCAAUGAUGCCCUAGUUAUCAACUUGAUUAAUGAGUGUCUGGCGGUCUAGCGGUAUGAUUCUAGCUAUUUUUAGUUUUUUUUUUUUAAAAAAAAAAAAUUGUCUGGACAAAUUCGUAGCAGAGGCUAAAACGUAAAUUAGAAAAAUAGACUUCAGCCGUCAUUGCCAAUUUCAAAACGGAUGAAUUAGCUGGUGAGUGGAUUCGUAGUUAUUCAACUAAUAUAUUUCAGACUUCUUGUGUGUUAAGAAAAGGCGAAAUAAACGUACCGUGUUCGAAGUGACAUAUUCUCAUAGGACCAAACUAACGCUAUUUAGGAUGUUUAAACAAUUAAAUUAAAUUAAAUACAUAUUAAUUAAUCAUAAUUAAAUAACAUAAAUUAAACUCUUAAAUUCAAACACUAGGUCAUGCAUACUAGACUUACAUGUACUAACUUAGUACAUGCACUCUCUGUUUUUAAUCCUUCUCAUCAGAGUACUGGUCAAAAGAGAUGGAUCCAUUUUAUUGAAGCAAGCAAAAUACAAUUAUUGAAGGUUCAUUCUUCUUUUAGACUUACAAAUUCAACCCAAAACUUGCUAUCUAGCCCUGUUUCUAGAAUUUCAAAGGCCAAAGCCAACAUAAGAUCAUUGAUUAACCGAAAACAUACAACUGCUGCUUGUUCAACUCUUUUAACAUAAUUAGCUGGAAAUACAUACAUAUCGGCAUUUCAUUUAUUAAUGCAACGCUAUAUAUACAUCUCUUCAAAAAGCAUGGAGAAAACGUCGCCAUCCUUGCACCUUCAAAGUACUCCCCAAUUGCAAAUCUUGGAUCCAAAAUGCAUAAAGCUUGCUACAAGCAAUUAUGCAUUCGGAUUCACUCCAACAGAUUGCAAUGUCUCAGUGUGAGGUUCCCUACAGUGACACCAAUAAAAUCAAGAUAUUAAAUCUUUAAUCUUGAAAUUUAAGUUCAAGACCACAAUAUUAAAAAGUUUCCUUUACUUCCAUCAUCGUGUUAAGCAAUUUUAUUUUUUUUAAAAAAAAAGUUUGGUGCACUAAGCUCCCAUUAUGGGCAGGAUCUGGAAAAGGGCCCAACCACAGAAAUGUAUGUAGUCUCACCUUCCAUUUUUCCAGGACUUCCCGAUCACAUGCAACUACUUUACCCGUUGCGCAGGUCCGAGAAAAGACCCAUUUCUGCAAGGUACUGUUUCCUAGGCUUGACAAAUUGAUCCAAACAAACAAAUAGAAAUGAUGGGAGUACUAAAGAAUCCAUUGGCCCGUGACAAACAUGGUAUCAAGGGCAAAUCUCAAAGGCAAUACGUGUCAUGUGCUUGACAUAUGACAAACAUGAUAUCAGAGCCUCGGUGGGAGGGAGGAAUCAACGUGAGGAAAUUGAAGUACUAGAAGCAUAUUGGAGUACCUCGCUAGAACAUCCCCACGGAUGGGAUCAGACAUGACAGACUGAUCAUCAAAAUCCUGAACAUGAGCCACCUUUCGAAAGAAAGAUUUCUUUAAGAACUUUUCUGAAUCAUCCACAACCUCCUCCGGUUCGGUGACUUCUGGUACAGUUUCCCUCCUUGAUUUCUUCAAGGACACGUUCGGCGCCCGCUUCAGCUGAUGCAUCGCUGUCUGUAAUCCAAAACCCAUCGAUAGCGCUAUUAGUCCAAGUGCCACGUACACUGGAACGAAAUCUCCUUUCAUGAAUCCCCUGUUUUCAAGCUAACAUCAACAUACUGCUUUUAUUUCACUUAAAAUGGAAAAUUUACAUUUUUAGUACCUCAGAUAUGUCAAGUGAUUUAACUAGCUAGGAAAGAAAGCACAUUAAUUAAUCACGGUUAAGAGCUAAAAGUCAUAGUACUAUUGGAAUUUAUCUAUUGAUUUGGGGUAAACAUCCUGUGGAAUUGAGUUCUUACCCUUUUGAUUCCUUUCAUGAAAUAUGUGUGUGUGUUCACUAGUUUAACAAGUGCUAAACCACUCAAUUAGCCUUGUAUAAUCUCAAGUUUGUAGUGGUACUCUACAUUUGACAGUAUCUAUAUAAAUACGUAUUUCUUAUAGAUACAUAUAAAGGGACUAAAAACAAACAUUUGCAAAUUAAAGUUUAGAUGUGCAUGGACAAAUAUUACAAGGACAUCAAAAUUGACCAACAAAUGAGGUACCCAUAUUGCAAUUGGCCCUUCUCUUUUUUUUUUUCUUUCUUUUUUUCUUUUUGGUAAUAGAGUUGCUAUAAACCAAAAUUCACCUGGGCUUGGCGUCUGGAUGCUCAGCAGUACUGGCAUAUGACCUCCAUUUGGUCCCAUUUGAUUUUGCAAAAGCAGAAUCUGCGGUAACACGAAUAGCCACAGAUUUCCACAAACUCUACAAAGUUGAACAAAAAUUUACAAUGAAUGUUUAACACACACGUUGAACAAUCAAAAUGUAACUCGACCAACUAAUUAAGUACUCCGUUUCCGUUUCAGAAAGAAGGAACUACUUGACAAAAAUAUUUUUUAAUCUUGCGACCUUAAAUUAAAAUUAUAUCAAAUAUAUCAAAAUACAUUGUAAUCUUGCGAUCCUAAAGCUGUCAUCUGGAAAGUUAAAAUUAAAAUAUUGAAAAAAACUGAUUUUUUUUUUUAAUGGACUAAAAAAAAUUGUAACUAGAAUUUGGACUUACCGAAGACCUGAAUGCCAUGAUGCAAAAUAUGAGUAGAAGAGUGAAUGAAGCACUAGCAGAGCAAAAUGAUAAAGUAAAGAGGGUUGGUUUUCACUGAUGAAGAGAUUUUUUUUUUUUAUGGUUAAUUGAUGAUAGAUCAUUAUAUAGUGAGGGAGACAUCGAUAGAUAAGUGCCACGAAGGGGUGUACAUGCAGAAUUAAGGACACUCGUCAGCAGCUAACAAGUCCACUUUGUGCUAGCGGUGACUCGUGUCUCAUGCUAACUAAAUAUACAUAAGUUUAUGUUUUUUCUUUUAUUUAUUUAUUUUUAUUGUUAUCCUCCUUUGACUGACAAACCCUUCUACUUCCCCAUAUUAGAUUGUUCCAAGUGGUUUAACAGAAUCUCAGUGAGAAGUACGCUUUGAAUUUUAAGUUAACAAGUGCAAAGAAAUAUAUAAAUGUGUCCAUGUAUUUUUAAUCCACGACACGUAGGUAGAAUCUAGGUACAUUCGAAUCAUUUUUAGACCUGCUUGUCAAAAUUCACUCGAUAUAUCAUUGUUAUUAAAAAAAUUAGAUACAAACUCUUAAUCUAAUGACACCUGAAGAAUACAUCAUUUAUAAUCUUGUUGACUCUUCAAAUAUAUAUAUAUGAAGAACGUCAAAAUCACACGUAUUCAAUUUUUUGCUAAAUCAGCGUAACUAAGGUAAUUUGGGUAUUUUCAUGUAGAAUUCUCAGGUAGUAAAUCAUUUCGAUGUAUUUUAACGAUCAAAAUUUUUUUACAAAAAAAAAGUUACAGUAAUAAAUAAAUUAUGAAAUGAAUCUUAACCUCAAAGGCUAACUUAAAAAAUGCGAAUUGCCCAAAUCGAUAUAAACAAACUACUCAUUCAUCCCUAAUCAAUGUGAAACUUUUACCCACUUUUAACAUAUACAAACACUCCUUUCGUCUUGCCUUAUAUCCUUGCUUCUAGUGCAUGGACACCAGAUAUAAUCAAAUCCUAAUAAUGCCUUCCACAAACUUAGAUGGAUAAAUUUUUUUGAAUGUAUAUGUAUACACACAUUGUAAAGCAGAAGCAGGUAUCUAAUUUUCUUUUCGCAAGUACUCAACAACAGAGUACUCCAAAGUCCUACGAUCCAUUGAGAUUUGACAAAGGCCAAAAAAAAAAGAUGACAUGGCAUUGGAAAGUAGCCGAAUUGCAUCAGAAUUGCUAUAGUAUUCACAAAUCUGCACUACAUAUAUUUGUAGUACUCAUGAACAUGCACAAUAGCAAGAUAUCACCACCAUGUAAACUUAAAACAUCUACACAUAUCUUACCUACUAGAAACUAUAUAUAUAUAUAUAUAUAUAUAUAUAUAAAUGGGUCAUACUCCAUAGUUAUUCACCAUCUUUGGAUCCUAUUACAGAAUUAAAUAUUACACUCUAAUUACAACCAAACUCCACAGUACAAGAAGGCCUAUGAUUUACAGCUUAUGGAUCCACUCCUAUAGUUUUUAACGUCUCCACGCCCGGCUUCCUGCAACACAAAUAUUCCUAAUAAGUACCAAUACCAUAUAAUAUAAAACUCAUAAAAAAAAUGGAGAAGAAACUGAAGAGCAAUUACUCUACGAGUAAACAUAAUACUCAUAACUUUACCAUACUAAUUAAGUACUAACUUGGUAUAAAUGUCGACUCGAGGAUUAGCACGUCUACUAACAACAUCCUGAAUGUGAGCCACCUUUCUGAAUAAAGAUUUGUUUAUGAACUUAUCAGUCUCUUGUGCAACAUGUUCUGGCUCCACUAUCUCUGGCAGAGUUUCCCUUCUUGAUUUCUUCACAUGCACAUUAGGGGAUCGCCUUAGCUGCUGCAUAGCCGUGUGCACCCCGAAACUCGUCGACAGUCCGAUCAUCCCUAGCGCCACGCACACAGGCACAAAGUCUCCCUUUCUUGACCUGCCAUCAUCACAUCGCAAAAUUUAGAAAAGGUACUUCUCUAGGUUCAAAUUGUUAAAAUUAUUGUUGAUCUAAUUGUUUAGUGACAAAUUAUCAAAAGAUUAUGUUAGUUAUAUAUAAGCAAUUUAGGGACGGAUUAGUGACAAAGUUCAUAGUUAAUUCUAACUUUUUUAGAGUGAUACAUAUACACAUUUUUUUAACUGGUUGAAAUUAAAUUCUGAAUUCUCCUCCCUAAACCGUAAAACCAAUCAUCAAGCUACUUAAUUGGAAAGAGUAAGUAGUGGAGUAGAGAAUUAAUCUUACUUGGGCACAGCCUCUUUGAGUUGGAGAGGUGAAAAUGGCUUGAGCUUUGAAGUGGCUGCUGUUGCAUAAUUUAGUGAUGAACUUCCUUUAAAGUGAUUUACUGCGGAUUUUAGAUAAGACUGCAAUAUCCAAAAACAGGCUCUCUCUUAAUUUAAUGUAGCAUAAAUACAGAUAAUAAGCUCGCUUACAUAUAAUAGAGUAUAUAAUUAAGGAACAAACUUAUUCAUGAUCACCAAGUUAUAAUUGGAACUUACCGCUGAUCUAAAAGCCAUAGGAAUAAACAAUUGAUUGAAGUAGGUUGAGAAUUCGAUAAAUUUUAAUAUGAUUUCAAGUUUGGUGUGUUUGUUCAAAAUCGAAUUGCUAAGUUUGGUUGAUCACAUUUGCACUUGUGAUUGUCCACUUAAUAUAUAGUUGAGGACAGAUGGUUCGGGAGACACCUAGGACGUAAUAGGACAAGGGCCAUAUGAUUUUUACCGAAUGGGAGUUGGGCACGUGUCAACUAGAAAAUGAGUCCACGUCAUUGCUAUGGACAUGGAAGUCUCCUGAACCUACUAAGUGAUUUUUAGCAGAUAAUAAUCACUUAAUUAAGCAUUAAUAUAGACUGAUAAAUAGUAUUCCCUCCAUUUCGUUUUAAUUGACCCUCUUUUUUAAAAUAUUUAUUUCAAUUUAAUUGUCCAUUUAAUGAAAUCAAGAGGAUUUUAUUAUAUUUUUCCAAUACUACCUUAAUAUUAAAUGACUAAAUAAAGUAUAUUUACUCAAAAUUAUAUUUUCAAGACAUAAUUAAUAAGGCUAAUUUGAUAAAAUAAAAUCCUAAUUAAUAUUUUCUUAAUGAAGAUAUCAAGUCAAUAGGGAUCAACUAAUAUAAAACGGAGGGAAUAAUAAAAUUGAAUUCAUGCACGAAAUUGCAUGUCAUAGACCCAGAUAUUGGUGACUUUAGAUAUUUAAGGUAGAAGAGGUUAGACAGGCUGUUCGCAGAAUGCGAGGGGGUAGGGCGACGGGGCCGGAUGAGAUACCGGUGGAGUUUUGGAAGUUUGUUGGAGAGGCUGGUGUUAGGUGGUUGACUGGAUUGUUUAAUGAAAUCUUCAAGACGGCAAAGAUGCCCGAGGCUUGGAGGUGGAGCACCAUGAUACCUCUCUAUAAGAAUAAGGGGGACAUCCAGAGUUGCAAUAACUAUAGGGGGAUUAAGUUAUUGAGCCACUCUAUGAAGAUCUGGGAGAGAGUGGUCGAGGUGAGGCUGAGACGGAUAGUGUCUAUUUCGGAAAACCAGUUUGGAUUUAUGCCUGGCCGCUCGACGACGGAGGCAAUUCACCUGGUACGGAGGUUGAUGGAACAGUAUAGGGAGAGGAAGAAGGACCUGCACAUGGUUUAUCGACCUGGAGAAGUCCUACGACAAAGUCCCCAGGGAGGUGCUUUGGAGAUGCUUGGAGGUGAGUGGAGUACCGCUGGCAUAUAUCAGAGCAAUUAAGGAUAUGUAUGAUGGAGCGAAAACCCAGGUGACGGCGGGAGGAGACUCAUAGCAUUUCACUGUCCGGACAUGGUUGCAUCAGGGAUCUACUCUUAGACCUUUUUUGUUUGCAUUGGUGAUGGAUGUGUUGACGCGGCGUAUUCAAGGGGAGGUGCCUUGGUGUAUGCUUUUUGCAGACGAUGUAGUUCUGAUAGAUGAGACCCGAGAGGGUGUGAGCUACAAAUUAGAGGUGUGGAGGCAAACCCUUGAGUAUAAAGGGUUCAGGGUGAGCAGAAGCAAGACAGAGUAUGUGGAAUGCAAGUUUAAUGACGUGAGGCGGGAGAAUGAGGUAGGAGUAAAGCUGGAAUCACAGGAGGUAGGUAAGAGGGAGAGUUUCAAGUAUCUCGGGUCCGUGAUCCAGAGUAACGGUGAGAUUGACGAGGAUGUCUCGCACCGUAUUGGGGCGGGAUGGAUGAAGUGGAAGCUCGCGUCGGGGGUGCUGUGUGAUAAGAAGGUGCCGCCCAAGCUUAAAGGCAAAUUCUACAGGGCGGUAGUCCGUCCGGCCAUGUUGUAUGGAGCGGAGUGUUGGCCAGUGAAGAACUCCCACAUCCAAAAGAUGAGGGUGGCAGAAAUGCGGAUGUUGCGCUGGAUGUGUGGGCUGACUAGAGGGGAUAGAGUUCGGAAUGAGAACAUCCGGGAGAAGGUUGGUGUGACACCAGUGGAGUGCAAGAUGCGGGAAGCCCGAUUGAGAUGGUUCGGACACGUGAAGAGGAGGGGCAUGGAUGCCCCGGUCCGUAGGUGUGAGAGGCUAGCGUUGGAUGGGUUUAAGCGGGGUAGGGGUAGGCCGAAGAAGUACUGGGGUGAGGUGAUUAGGCGAGACAUGGAGCAGUUACAGCUCACCGAGGACAUGACCCUAGAUAGGAAGGUCUGGAGGACGCGAAUCAGGGCAGUGGACUAGGGCCAGUCUGAGUUGUCUUGAGCCGAGGGUCUAUCGGAAACAGCCUUUCUACUUCUUCAGAGGUAGAGGUAUGGACUGCGUACAUCUUACCCCCCCAGACCCCACUAGGUGGGAAUACACUGGGUUUGUUGUUGUUGUUGUUGUUGUUGUUAUUUUAUCUCAAAUUUUAUCUUCUCUUUAUUAUUUUCACUUUUUAUUUUUUCCUUUAAUAUUAUUAUUAUAUUUUUUUAUUAUUUUCACUUUUUUUCCUUUAAUUUUAUUAUUCUAUUUUUUAUUAUUUUCACUUUUUAUUUUUUCCAUUAAUUUUAUUUUUAUUUUUUAAUUUAUUUGUCUCAACCUUUAUUUUUUUUCUCUUUUUUCUCAAGCGUUAUCUAUUUAUUUUUUUCCUUUUUUUAAUUCAUUUAUCUUUAGCCUUUAUUUUUCUGUUAUUUUUAUUUUUUAUCAGUUUUUUUCCCCUUAUUUUUCUCAAUUUUUAUUUUUACUUUUCCUCUCAUUUUUUAUUUUCUCAAUUUUUAAAAUUCUUUGCUUUUUUCUUGAUCUUUUUUUUUUUUUGUCUUUUUUUUUCUCACACUUUUUUAUAUAUUUUUCUACUUUGUUUGAUCGCUUUUUUCUUUUUUCAGUUCUCUUUUUUUCCCUCGUUUUUCUGAAACUUUAAUUGUAUUUUCCUCUCAUUUUUAUUUUUCUCAAAUUUUUAAAUUCUUCAUUUUUUUCUUCAUCUUUAUUUUUUUCUCAAUUUUUUUAUUUCUCUAUUUUAUUUGAUUGUUUUUCCCCUUUUUCUCAACUUCUAUUAUAUUUUGCUAAUAAAUAAAAAAUUAGAAAAUCCGCAAAGAUAUCUUCUUUUUUUGACAUCAAAGCAAAUUUAAGGGCAUAAAUUGUUGUUACGAAGUUCUUUAAAAAUUCCUGAGAUAAGUCGUGUCUCUAAGGCGAGAGUUGUAGAAUAUCUCAUACAUAAAGACAUAAUGUGGUAAUGUCAACUCUUGUCCAUAGAGCAUAGUUUAUUAUUUGAAAGUCCUUGAGCUAAGUCUUGCCUCUAAGGCAAGAGUUGUAGAACAUUCCACAAAUGAAGACAUAAUGUGGUAGUGUCAACUCUUGCCCGUGGGGCAUAAUUUGUAGUUUGAAAGUCUUUGAGCUAAGUCUUGCCUCUAAGGCAAGAGUUGUAGAACAUCUCAUAAAUGAAGACAUAAUGUGGUAGUGUCAACUCUUGCCCUUGAGCAUAAUUUAUAGUUUGAAAGUCCUUGAUCUAAGUCUUGCCUCUAAGACAAUAGUUGUAGAACAUCUCAUAAAUGAAAACAUGACGUGAUAGAGUCAACUCUUGCCCAUGGGACAUAAUUUGAAGUUUGAAAGUCCUUGAGCUAAUUAAGUCUUGUCUCUAAGACAAUAGUUGUAGAACAUCUCAUAAAUGAAAAUAUAACGUGGUAGUGUCAACUCUUGCCCGUGGACAUAAUUUGUAGUUUGAAAGUCCUCGAGCUAAGUCUUGCCUCUAAGGCAAUAGUUGUAGAACAUCUCAUAAAUGGAAACUUAACGUGACAGAGACAACUCUUGCCCAUGGGGCAUAAUUUAUAGUUUGAAAGUCAUUGAGCUAAUUAAGUCUUGCCUCUAAGGCAAUAUAUAAUUGUAGAACAUCUCAUAAAUGAAAACAUAACGUGGUAAAGUCAACUCUUGCCCGUAAAGCAUAAUUUGUAGUUUGAAAGUCUUUGAGCCAAGUUUUGCCUCUAAGACAAAAGUUGCAGAACAUUUCAUAAAUAAAAAUAUAACGUGGUAGAGUUAACUCUUGCCCAUGUAGCAUAAUUUGUUGUUUGAAAGUCCUUGAGUCAAGUCUUGCCUCUCAUAAAUGAAAAUAUAAUGUGGUAGAGUCAACUCUUGCUCGUGGGGCAUAAUUUGUUGUUUGAAAAUCCUUGAGCUAAGUCUUGCCUCUAAGGCAAUAGUUGUAGAAUAUCUCAUAAAUGAAAGUAUAACGUGGCAGUGUCAACUCUUGCCUGUGGGCAUAAUAUGUUGUUUGAAAGUCCCUGAGCAAAGUCUUGCUUCCAAGGCAAUAGUUGUAGAAUAUCUCAUAAAUGAAAACAUAAUAUGGUAGAGUCAACUCUUACCCGUGGGGUAUAAUUUGUUGUUUGAAAGUCCCCGAGCUAAGUCUUUCCUCUAAGGUAAGAGUUAUAAAACAUCUCAUAAAUCAAAAUACAAUGUGGUAGUAUCGACUUUUGUCCAUGAAACAUAACUUGUUGUUUGAAAGUCAUUAGUAUGGGUGUCAAACGGGCCAAUUUUAACUGGCCCGAAUCGGCCCACAUAAUAAAUCGGCCCAAUUUGACCCGGCCCAGUAAGCCCAAGGGUUUUAGGAUUUUAGGUCUCGGGCCAUUUAUUUUUUUAAUUUGGCCCCGGUUAAUCCGGCCCGGUUGCCUUUUUUAGAAAAAAAAAUUAUUUUGGGCCAAACUAGCCCUUGGCCCAACGGCUAUAUAGCCGUUUUUGGAUCCAAACGGCUAGUUUGGGCCCAUUUAUUAAAAAAAAUAAAAUUUUUACAUUAUAAAUUAUUUUUUAAUCCCCCAAAAAAAUCUAUAAAUACCCUACAACUUCAAAUCAUUUUCCACACAAUUUUUCACUCUCUCAAAUCUCAGUUCUCAAUUCUCAAAUAUUCAAUAUAUUUAAUUUCUUAAAGUGUUCACUUUAAUUUUUUUAUUUUUCGUUUACAAAGUACGAGCGGAUNNNNNNNNNNNNNNNNNNNNNNNNNNNNNNNNNNNNNNNNNNNNNNNNNNNNNNNNNNNNNNNNNNNNNNNNNNNNNNNNNNNNNNNNNNNNNNNNNNNNNNNNNNNNNNNNNNNNNNNNNNNNNNNNNNNNNNNNNNNNNNNNNNNNNNNNNNNNNNNNNNNNNNNNNNNNNNNNNNNNNNNNNNNNNNNNNNNNNNNNNNNNNNNNNNNNNNNNNNNNNNNNNNNNNNNNNNNNNNNNNNNNNNNNNNNNNNNNNNNNNNNNNNNNNNNNNNNNNNNNNNNNNNNNNNNNNNNNNNNNNNNNNNNNNNNNNNNNNNNNNNNNNNNNNNNNNNNNNNNNNNNNNNNNNNNNNNNNNNNNNNNNNNNNNNNNNNNNNNNNNNNNNNNNNNNNNNNNNNNNNNNNNNNNNNNNNNNNNNNNNNNNNNNNNNNNNNNNNNNNNNNNNNNNNNNNNNNNNNNNNNNNNNNNNNNNNNNNNNNNNNNNNNNNNNNNNNNNNNNNNNNNNNNNNNNNNNNNNNNNNNNNNNNNNNNNNNNNNNNNNNNNNNNNNNNNNNNNNNNNNNNNNNNNNNNNNNNNNNNNNNNNNNNNNNNNNAGUGUAUAUUUAGCGUAUACAUGUGUAUAUGUUUUAUAAAUUAGUAUAUAACUAUAUCUAUAUAUAUUGUAAUGUAUAUAUAUUGUAGUAUAUUUUAUAAGUAGUAGUAUAUAUACAUUGAAUAGUGCAUAUAUAUGAGUAAAUAUCUUCUAUAGAAGUGUAUAUUUAACGUAUACAUGUGUAUAUGUUUUAUAAAUUAGUAUAUAACUAUAUCUAUAUAUAUUGUAAUGUAUAUAUAUUGUAGUAUAUUUUACAAGUACUAGUAUACAUACAUUGAAUGAUGCGUAUAUAUGAGUAUAUAUCUUCUAUAGAAGUGUAUAUUUGACGUAUACAUGUGUAUAUAUUUUAUAAAUUAUUAUAUAACUAUAUCUAUAUAUAUUGUAAUGUAUAUAUAAUGUAGUAUAUUUUAUAAGUAGUAGUAUAUAUACAUUGAAUGAUGCGUAUAUAUGAGUAAUUGACUAAUUGUGUAUAUGUGUAUAUAUUUUUUAAAUUCUAAUGUAGUAUAUACUAUAUCUAUAGUGUAUAUAUAUUAUUUAACGUAUUGAUAAAGUAUAUAGGUGGGUAUAUGACUAUAUGUAAUGUAUAUUGAAAGAAAGUUUUUUUCUAUAUUUACCGGGUUUGACCAUUUUUUUAACCGGGUUUGAUUGGAUUUUGGUGGGUUUGACCCAGUUGGGUUAAGUGGGCCAAGUUCGGGUGGGCUAUAAUUUUUUUACUGUUGGGCCCGGCCCGGCCCGACUGGCACCAAACCCAGCCCUUAACCUGCCCUCAACCCGAUUAAAGUAGAAGGGCUGGUUUCGGGUUGGCCCGACCCAACCCGUUUGACAAUCCUAGUCAUAAGUCUUACCUCUACAAUGCAGUUGUGUCAACUCUUACCCAUGAAACGUAGCUUAUUGUUCGAAACUCGUAAAUCUUGCCUUUAUAAUGUAAUAGUGUCAACUCUUGCUCACAAGAUAUAACUUGAAUGGAAGAAAUCGAAGAAAAGAACAAAAAUAACAAAAAUUCUGGAAAAAGAAGAAAAUGAAGAAAAAUAUAAAAAAACAAAAAUAAAAAAAAAUAUAGAAGUUGAGAGAGAAUGGGGAAAAAAUAAAGGUUGAUAAAAAUAAAAAUAAAAAGAUGAAAUAAAAAUAAGGGUCGAGAAAAAUUUUAAAAGAAAAAUAUGAAGGAAAAAUAAAAUAAGUUUUUUAUUUUAAUAAAAGUAGAUGUUGAAAGGUGUAAAGAAAAAAAAGUAAGUGUUGGGAAAAACUAAAAAGAAUAAAAAAAAAGAGGAAAGAAAAAAUCAAAAAUAAAAAUAAUAUAAAAGAAAAAAGAAAAAAGAAAAAAAGAAAAAAAAUUGAGAGGAAAAAAGGAAAAAAGUAAGGGUUGAGAAAAAGAAAAAAAAUCAAAGUAAAAUUAAAAAAAGAAAAAAAAUAAAAGUUAAAAAAUAUAAAUAUGAAGUUGUUAUCCAUUAUGUGGAUCAUUUAUGUAAUUGCUCCAUUGAUGAGGGGCAAUUUUAUUUAAAGGAAUAUUAGUUAAUAUGUAAAAACUAUUUUAAGAAAAAAAAUUUAUUUGGAGCUAAAAUUUAAAAGUCACUUCAAUUUGGGUCUAUUUUUUUGAAUCACCCGAAUUCAUGGGCUUGAUUAAUGAACCAAUGAAUAUUUGGGUCGUUUCACGGGUCUGGAACGACAAACUAAAUGUACACCCAAUACUGGUUAGCGGGACAAAUUAAAUGGCCUGUUCAAAUGAGAUAUUGGGUUGAAAUUGAAUCCAAUAAAUUUUCAAUUUCAUGUAUUUUCGAUUCGAAACUCUUAGUCAAGUGUCAGGUUAUUAUUGUUAUUAUUUUUUUUUUUGGUAAAGGUCAGAUUAUUUUUGGUUAUAGGUUCAAGAGGAAGGAGAAGAACCCUCAUCCAAUGGUAUAUUUUUUUCAUUUACCGCUUCAAUAAUCUCUGAUAGUUAUAUUUGACAAAGAUUAAAAGUUUUUUAUUUUUUGAUAAAUCUUAAAAUUAUUUUUUUAUGAAUAUAUUUAGGGAGUAUUUGAACUUACCCAAAAAUAAGACACCAUUUUUUUUUUUGACGUUUUCUUCUUUUCUAUAUUAUAGAAGAGCUGGUUUCGACCAGCUCUUUAUUAUUUACCAUUUUAUUUUUAAUUGCUUCGUAAUUUAUUAUAUUAUUUUUAAUUAAUUAUUAUAAUUAAUUUAUAUAUUAGAAUUAAUAAUAUUUUUUAUUAUAUUAUACCUAAUUAAUUAUUAUAAAUCAUUUAUAGAUUAGAAUUAAUAAUAUUUAAUUAAAAAAGUAGAUAUUUAUGACGUUUGUUUCAAUUGCUUUAACCGUAAUUUUACUAUAUCAUCCUAAUUAAUUAUUAUAAGUCAUUUAUGUAUUAAAAAAUUAAUAAUAUUUAAUUAAAAAAUAGAUGUCAUGUCUGCCUAUAUUAUCCCUAAUUUCUCCGUGAUUUAUUAUAUCACCUCUAAUUAAUCAUUAAAACUCAUUUAUAUUUUAGAAUUAAUAAUUUUUUUUACUAUAUUACCCUAAUUAAUUAUUAUAAGUCAUUUAUAUAUUAGAAUUAAUAAUAUUUAAUUAAAAAAUAGAUAUUUAUGACGUUUGUUUCAGCUGCUUUAACCGUGAUUUUACUAUAUCAUCCCUAAUUAAUUAUUAUAAGUCAUUUAUGUAUUAAAAAAUUAAUAAUAUUUAAUUGAAAAAAAUAGAUGAUAUGUCUGCCUAUGGUUUCGACCAACGCUUCAUCAAUUACUAUAUUACCCCUAAUUGCUUCGUGAAUUACUAUAUCACCCCUAAUUAAUUAUUAUAAGUCAUUUAUGUAUUAAAAAAUUAAUAAUAUUUAAUUNNNNNNNNNNNNNNNNNNNNNNNNNNNNNNNNNNNNNNNNNNNNNNNNNNNNNNNNNNNNNNNNNNNNNNNNNNNNNNNNNNNNNNNNNNNNNNNNNNNNNNNNNNNNNNNNNNNNNNNNNNNNNNNNNNNNNNNNNNNNNNNNNNNNNNNNNNNNNNNNNNNNNNNNNNNNNNAUUAUUAUAAGUCAUUUUACUAUAUUACCUCUAAUUGCUCCAUAAUUUAUUAUAUUACCCCUAAUUAAUUAUUAUAAGUCAUUUAUAUAUUAUAAUUAAUAAUAUUUUUUAUUAGUCAUUUAUGUAUUAAAAAAUUCAUAAUAUUUAAUUAAAAUAUUGAUUUCGACAUGGCUGCUUCAAGAGCUACACCGUGAUUUCACUAUAUUGCCCCUAAUUGAUUACUAUAAGUCAUUUAUGUAUUAAAAAUUAAUAGUAUUUAAUUUAAACAAGAAAAAUAUGCAUUUAUGACAUAUUUGUUGCAGCUGUUUCAACCAUAAUCAUCUUUGAGAAGAUGAUCCAAGACUUUAUUGUUAAUUGAAGUAUCUUUUGUUUCAGUUUUUGUAUGAAAUAAUCCUAUGAAUAUUAGUUCUACGUCUUUUUUAUAUUUUGUAACAGUUCUCAAUCUUAUCAUCAAACAAUUAAAAUAACUUGACUGCACGACACAUCACACUUUCUUAUCAUUUUAAAUCAAUCUACAUUUAUGUUUGUAUUUCAUGAAUAUCAAAUAUUAGUGCUAAAAGAUGUCUAUAGUAUUGGGUCUGUGCUGACACGGGUCAUGCACCUCUAGUGAGGUGGUUUCGACCACCUUUUCAUUUACUAUACUACCCCCAAUCAUUUACUAUAUUACAUCCUAAUUGCUCCAUAAUUUACUAUAUUAUCCCUAAUUAAUUAUUACAAGUCAUUUCCUAUAAAUAUGUAAGCCAUUCGGCAAGGUAGAGGCAAGUCUUCAUGUGUUGAAGCAAAAAGCCCUUCUUUGUAAAUAUUAGAAUUUAUAAUAUUUAAUUAAAAAAAAUAGAUAUUUGUAGCUUUUGUUUCAGCUGCUUUAACCGUGAUUUUACUAUAUCAUUCCUAAUUAAUUAUUAUAAGUCAUUUAUGUAUUAAAAAAUUAAUAAUAUUUAAUUCAANNNNNNNNNNNNNNNNNNNNNNNNNNNNNNNNNNNNNNNNNNNNNNNNNNNNNNNNNNNNNNNNNNNNNNNNNNNNNNNNNNNNNNNNNNNNNNNNNNNNNNNNNNNNNNNNNNNNNNNNNNNNNNNNNNNNNNNNNNNNNNNNNNNNNNNNNNNNNNNNNNNNNNNNNNNNNNNNNNNNNNNNNNNNNNNNNNNNNNNNNNNNNNNNNNNNNNNNNNNNNNNNNNNNNNNNNNNNNNNNNNNNNNNNNNNNNNNNNNNNNNNNNNNNNNNNNNNNNNNNNNNNNNNNNNNNNNNNNNNNNNNNNNNNNNNNNNNNNNNNNNNNNNNNNNNNNNNNNNNNNNNNNNNNNNNNNNNNNNNNNNNNNNNNNNNNNNNNNNNNNNNNNNNNNNNNNNNNNNNNNNNNNNNNNNNNNNNNNNNNNNNNNNNNNNNNNNNNNNNNNNNNNNNNNNNNNNNNNNNNNNNNNNNNNNNNNNNNNNNNNNNNNNNNNNNNNNNNNNNNNNNNNNNNNNNNNNNNNNNNNNNNNNNNNNNNNNNNNNNNNNNNNNNNNNNNNNNNNNNNNNNNNNNNNNNNNNNNNNNNNNNNNNNNNNNNNNNNNNNNNNNNNNNNNNNNNNNNNNNNNNNNNNNNNNNNNNNNNNNNNNNNNNNNNNNNNNNNNNNNNNNNNNNNNNNNNNNNNNNNNNNNNNNNNNNNNNNNNNNNNNNNNNNNNNNNNNNNNNNNNNNNNNNNNNNNNNNNNNNNNNNNNNNNNNNNNNNNNNNNNNNNNNNNNNNNNNNNNNNNNNNNNNNNNNNNNNNNCUUUAACUGUGAUUUUACUAUAUCAUCCCUAAUUAAUUAUUAUAAGUCAUUUAUAUUUUAAAAAAUUAAUAAUAUUUAAUUAAAAAUAGAUGACAUGUCUGUCUAUAUUACCCCUAAUUGCUCCAUGAUGUACUAUAUUAUCCUUAAUUAUUUAUUAUAAGUCAUUUAUAUAUUAGAAUUAAUAAUAUUUUUUUACUAUAUUACCCUUAAUUAAUUAUUCUAAGUCAUUUAUAUAUUAGAAUUAAUGAUAUUUAAUUUUAAAAAUAGAUAUUUAUACGUUUGUUUCAGCUGCUUUAACCGUGAUUUUACUAUAUCCUCCCUAAUUAAUUAUUAUAAGUCAUUUAUUUAUUAAAACACUAAUAACAUUUAAUUAAAAAAUAGAUGACAUGUCUGCCUAUAUUACCCCUAAUUGUUUCGUGAUUUACUAUAUUACCCCUAAUUAAUUAUUAUAAUUCAUUUAUAUAUUAGAAUUAAUAAUAUUUUUUUUACUAUAUUACCCCUAAUUAAUUAUUGUAAGUCAUUUAUUUAUUAGAAUCAAUAAUAUUUAAUUAAAUCAAUAUACAUUUAUGUUUAUAUAUUUCAUCAAUAUCGAAUUUUAAUGCUAAAAAAUAUUUAUUGUCUUGGGCUCGUACUGACACGGGCUAUGCACCUCUAAUUUUAAAAUAAAGUUAUUUGAAUAAGUGACGCUUGUUUAAGUGGUUCAACACCUCAAUCAUCUAAUGAUAAGUUGAGGGUUCGAGUCACGUUGAAAAGUAGGUGGAAACACAAAUUAUUCUCCUGACAGGUAGAGUGAGAAAAAAAAUAAAAAAUAAAACUAUAUGCAAUUACUUUUUACGUGAUUUAGUUACUUAAACAUUUUUAUAUUGCUAGUUUAGCUGCACGUACCUCGCACGUGUAAUUUUUUAUUAUUUAAAAUUAAACGAUUUUAUCUAUCACGAGUUUUUUAAUGAAGUACAAAAAGUUUAAAACAAAUAUUUUAUCGUAAGCACAUAUAUAUAUGAGAAAAAUAAUUACAUUGUUAGAUUCGAACAUAUGAGAAUAUCAAACCUAGAAAUCAAAAUUCACGAACAAAACAGAUGUACUAAUGCAUGGUGUGUUAAAUUUAAAAUCACUCUCUAAGCUAAAGGAAAAAUAAUAAGUCACGACAACCAAUAGAAAAGGAAAAACAACUCAAAAAAGAGUGAGAGAGAAUAACAUACUAAUCUAGCGGAUGAAAAUUACAAUGGUUGAAGAAAACACAAAAUACAAGCGUGGGACGGGACAAUAUAUAUUAAUAUAAAAAUAUGUUGAAAAUUAAACCUAGUCCUAAUUUAAGAAAAGAAACUUACCAUAUUUUAAAGUCCUAAUCCAUUACCAUAUUUUAAAAUCCUAACCCAUAUAUUCUAGGAUUCAAAAUUAUCUAUAUAAUUAAAUAAUAAUUGGAGAAAAAAAAGUGAAAAGACGAUUUUAUCUAUUGUAAAGUGUUUUAAUGAAGGGCAAAAAGUUCAAAUUACAGGUCUUCACACUUUUAAUAUAUUAUAGAUUAGUGCAUUGGAUUUAAACUCGUACACUAAAAGUGGCUAAUUAUGUAAAAGGACUUCUUGUUUUUUGUUUGACGAAUAUUAAAAGUGUUCACUUUUACCAUUUAGAGAAUUAUAACCGCCCAUGAAUCUAUCUUGGGGACCAUUUGAAGCUAAACAAACAUAAGAGACCAUUUUUUUUUGUUUUCUUCCUUUUUAAUAAUAUAAAUACAACCUAAUUGAGUAAAUGAUAUUAAUAUUCCCAGAUUGUUAUUGAUUAUAUUGCUAGAUAUCGAUGGUCCGUGUUAGCAUGGGCCCAAUAUAUAUUACUUUUUAUCUCAAUUUAUGUAAUAUAAAUAAAAUUUACAUAAUCAAUCGUCAGAAUAGUUUAAGUUCUUAAUUAUUGUAAUUUAUAAUACUCUUUCUUCUAUUCCAAUUUAAGUAAUACUGAGAUAAUUUCGACAGUUAGUCAAAUAUUUUGUAUUUUUUUAUUUUUUUUAAGUUGCUAAUUAUGCUAUUUAUAAUUUUUCAAUAAGAUAUGAAUACUCUUCCCGUCCCAUUUUAUGUUGCAUCGAUAUAACUUCGACCUUCAAUCAAAUUUUUAUAUAUAUACUCCUAAUUAAUAAUUAUGGUCAUUUAAGCAUUAAAAAACUAAUAAUAACAACAACAACAAACCCAAUGUAUUCCCACAUAGUGGGGUCUGGAGGGUAAGAUGUACGCAGUCCAUACCACUAUCUCCGGAGAAGUAGAAAGACUGUUUCCGAUAGACCCACGGCUCAAGACAAGGAAUAAUAAUCAAAUCCGUAAUAAAGCAUGUAACAAGAUGACAAAACAUAAAUACAUCACCCACAAGGAAUAAUAAACAAAGAAUAAUCAACAAAUUCGUAAUAAAGCAUGCAACAAGGUGACAUAACAAGAAUAAUACACCGACCAAGUAAUGUCCUACCCCAACGACCCAAGCUGGUACUAGCUUUCUAUCCUAAUUUGCGUCCUCCAGAUCUUCUUAUCUAGGGUCAUGUCCUCAGUGAGCUGUAACUGUUCCAUGUCCCACCUAAUCACCUCUCUCCAAUAUUUCUUCGGCCUACCCCUAGCCGCCUGAAACCAUCCAACGCUAGCCUCUCACACCUACGAACCGAAGCAUCCGUGCCCCUCCUCAUCACGUGGCCGAACCAUCUCAAUCGCACGUCCCACAUCUUUUCCUCCACCGAAGCCACUCCGACCUUUUCCCGAAUAGUCUCAUUCUGAACUCUAUCACCUUAGUAAAAUCACACAUCCAACGCAACAUCUGCAUUUCUACCACCUUCAAUUUUUGAAUGUGAGAGUUCUUGACUGGCCAACACUCCGUUCAAUACAACAUGGUCGGACGAACAGAAUCAACAAAAUAUUGACAAGACACAUCUCAAUAUGCCAGAAAAUAACAGAUUCAAAACAGUAUAGUUGGGUUAUUUGGAAAAACAUAAAAAGAACAAGGGAACUAUCAGUAUCGAUAAAUUGCUUUCAUAUCACACAUAUCCUCUAAAUCAUAGAACCGCAUAUAUACAACACUAUCUAAUUACACAAGUUAUGUAAUAAUGAAUUAUGUUUAUCCUCACAAAAGUAAAAUCUUAUUAGAUAUUUUUCUUUCAUUUCUUUUUAUUUGGUAAGAAAUUAUUUAUUUAAAAUUUAUUUUACUAAAUUAAUUUUAUUAAGUAUAUUUUAAAAUUUAAAUUUGAUUAUUAGUAUCAACAAUAAGAAUUUUUCUUAAUUUACUAAAUAAACAAUUAAAAAAGAAAAUUUUAUUUUUAAUAUAAAAUCUAAAUAAAGAAUAAAAUUUUACUUUUAUUAAGAAUAUUAAUUAUAAUAAACUAUUAUGAAUUAUUAUCUCAUUAAUUUACUUAAGUAUAUUAGGUUUAAAUAAUUUAUAUAGAUCUAAAAUUAAUAAUAAACCAAACAAUUUUGGAAAAUAGAAAUGAAAAUAGAUGAAAUAUUAUAUGAAAAAUAAAUUAACUCUAUUAAGUAUACGUUAAAAUUUAAAUUUUAUUUUAAAUUUGGUUAUUAGUAUUUCAUUUACUUAAAGAUAAAAAUAGGAAUUAUCAAACAAACUAAGAAAUUUUCUUAAUUUACAAAAAUAAAUAAUAAAAAAUUGAUAUAAAAUUUGAAUAAAAAAUAAAAUUUAUUUACUUUUAUCAAGUAUAUUAAUUACUAUGAAAAAUAAUUUCAUUAGUUUACUUAAAUAUAUUAUAUUUAAACAAUUUUUCAUAGAUCUAAUUAAAUACACCAAUCAAAUUUGGAAAAUAUAAAUGAAAAUGUUGUACCCCAUUUAUGGCAAACCAGCAAAGUCAUGUCUCAUCAAGAAUUCCUUUUCCGAAAAAGCUGAACUCACAAAUGUCACUCUUCUCUUUGCUGACAUAGCUAAAGCCUAAAACAAAGAGAUCUUUGGAAAUAUUUUUCAAAAGAAGAAGCAACUCUUAGCUAGGUUGACUGGGAUUCAGAAGUCCCCCUUAGUACCCAACCAGUCCUUUCCUUCAUGAGCUGGAAGGAACCCUUACCAAAGAGUUCAACUACAUCCUAGACCAGGAAAAUAAAUUCUGGAAAUUUAAAUUCAGAAUCAACUGACUCAUUGAUGGAGACAGGAACAUCAAAUUCUUCUAUAACUCCACUCUUAACAAGAGAAGAAGAAA
rnacentral:lncRNA from 1 species